rnacentral:lncRNA from 1 species
GGGGGGGGAAAGAUGUACGCAGUCCAUACCUCUACCUCUGAUGAAGUAGAAAGGCUGUUUCCGAAAGACCCCCGGCUCAAGUCACGAGAUAUCACACAAACACAUAGUACAGCACAGCAGCAGAUGACAUAACAUAGAUACGGCACCCAUAGGGAAUAUAAAACAGAGUAAAGCAGGAGUGCAGGAAUAUAAAGCAGAGGAAAGCACCCAGAUUCGUAAUAAACAUGGAACACGGAACACGAAACACUGAAUACAGAAUCAUAACAGGAAUACACCCCCACCAAUUAAUCCCCUACACUAGCGACCCGAACUGGCCCUAAUCCUCUGCCGUAAUUCGCAUCUUCCAGCCCUUCCUAUCUAGGGUCAUGUCCUCGGUGAGCUGUAACUGUUCCAUGUCCCGCCUAAUCACCUCACCCCAGUACUUCUUCGGUCUACCUCUACCCCGUCUAAAACCAUCCAACGCUAGCCUCUCACACAUAUUGAUACAAUGAUUAAAAUUCCUAACUUUUGAUUCUGUAACUGGGAGUCCACCUAACUUCUCUUCUUCAUUGGUAAUGACAUUAAAAUCACAUCCAACUAUCCAAGAAGUUUGUAUAGCUUGAGCGAUUUCAUACAAUGAUUCCCAUAAAUAAAGUCUUUUGUCUUGAUUACUCUUAGUUUAUACUAAUGUAACCACAACUUCCAUCCCAUGUUCUUGAUUCUGCAAUCUGAGAAUGAGUUGCUGUUCUUCAUCCAUUAUGACUUCCACUUCCAUAACUUCAUCUAUGAAUGCCCAAAUUUUCCCAUUGGUGUUUGACAUGGCAUGCUCAGACCCAACUUCCUUCUACACACCUUUAGCAUUUGUUUAUCCUGAAAAGGUUUCAUGAUCCCAACAAAAUAAAAAUUAAUGUUGUUUAUGCAUAUUAACUAAUCUAUUGAAUGCUUUUUGAGUGUUCACUGAUCUUAUGUUUCAUAUAAGUGCCUUCGUUAAAACUUGAGAGGUUUAGUGAUGGUUCUCUUUGUCUGCCUUGAGUUUGUUUGAAUUGAUGUUGUAUCCCCUACUCCUUUCUUCUUUUGUUUUGUAUGCUGUUCUUUCAACUUUUCAACAUGUUUAGGAGACAAAUCAGCAUUCUUAUAGAUAUCCUUUGUAUAAGCCCUUAAAUCUUCAUUAUCCUCGUACAUUCUAGCUUUUAUGGCUAGAGGCAGUGCUUCUGCAUUCUCCUCUUCAUAUACUACCAAAGCUCCCUCUAUGUUAAUUUGCUCAGUUGUUUGAUCAUCUUUGCUUGCUUCUUCAAUUUGUUUUCCUUGCUUAAUCUCCUCUUUUUGUUUGUUGUUUUUCCCCUCUUCAUUAAUUUUUGCUUCUUUGUCUUCUUCAUUUUGCUCAAGCAUUAUCUUCUCAAUGGUUUCUGCUUCCUUGACUUCUUUAUUUUGUUUAGGCAUUAUCUUUUCUUUUCCAAAAAUCUGGUUAACCCACUCUUUAGUUUGCAUUUUGCCCUGAGAUUCUGAUUUCUCAUUCUGCACUUCUUCUUCUUCUUCUUCUUCUUCUUCUUCUUCUUCUUCUUCUUCUUCUUCUUCUUCUUCUUCUUCUUCUUCUUCUUCUUCUUCUUCUUCUCUUAGUGUCCCAAAGGACUUGUCAUCUUAUACUCAGUUUUACCUUCUAUGUGCCCAUACUUGUAUUUCUUGUAUUUGUUUUUUCUUGUCAUAUAUUCCUACUUUUGCUAGGUAUUAUAUCUUCCCCUAUCUGCAGUCGUCGUUGCUUCUCUAUUUAAGGUUGUAUUUCCUUCUUCCUUUUCUUUGCUAUUUUCCUCCUACUUUGCUUCAAACAAUUCUGGAUAGAUUGACCAGCAUGAUUCCUUAUCAUGUCCCUGUAAGCAACAUUCUUUACAAUACUUUAGCAUGUAAUCAAAUUGUAUUUGGAUUAAUUUUGAUUUGAUUUCUCCUGUUUCAUCAUCUUGGUAGUUGAUUCUCACCCUUUGUGGUAACUUAGCUACCAAAUUCACUUCAAUUUUUACUUUGGCAUAACUGGGUCUUGUUUGAUUCUUUGUUGCCAUGCCAACCAUUAAUGAUUUUCCUACAACCAAUACUGAAGAGAAAAUAGCUUCUUUAGCAAUGGAAAGUCAGGAAGAGAUAUACAUGCUACUCCAAUAGUAGUUUCAAUAUCAGGCUAAAUCAUGGAUCCCACUUGAGAGUCCUCAUCUGUCAGUAUCUUAAUUUAAUGUAAAACGUCGUUGUAGAUAAUAUCUGAACAUAAUCCUCUAGGCUAUUUAAUCGAAUUAAUAUAAACCUGGUACCGAAUACCCCUAUCGUACAGUCCUGCUAAAUACCACAUUGUUCAGGAGUAGAUUUCCUCAAUGUAUUAAUGUCUGGUUUGCCAUAUGAGAACUUUCCCACGAUAGCAUAUUGUAGAUUUUUCUAAAUGAUAAAGGUUUUAACCUCUGAAGAUUUUCAUGUAAUGUUAGGUUCUCUAUGAAACAUAACGACUGGUUUGGCUGGAAGCUUGGUAUUGCUUUAAUAUGUUUUUUUGGUUUUAGAAUAUUUGCAUAUUGGAUCAAAUCUUUUUUGCUUGUCUGAUUUGUUUGUAUAGUCGUUAAAGCUGGUUGGGUGCUUUGGGAUGGAAGCAGAGGGAAUUCCUCCGACGGGAUUACCCUACUGGUGGAGAUAUCUGUCAUAUUUGCCGUCAAAGCUAGGUUUAGGGUUUUUGAAUCCUAGCGUUUAGUAUGAUUUUACUGAGACACAUGAGAAUAUCUGAAAAGUGAAACACAAAAUUAUGCAAAGAAAUUGAGAGAGAGAUACUACUUAGCUUAUUAUAUUUACAUAAAUUUUUACUCUUAUAAAGUAAUUUCAAAAAUUUCAGCUAAUUAUGUAUCUCGACAAACUCAGAAUCAAAAAAAUAUGUCGAAAGUUAAUUAUGUAUCUUUACAAAAAAUAUAUAUAUAUCUUUAUAGGAUGUAUCGAGGGCUAAUUAUGUAUCUCAACAGACUCAAAAUUGAGAUUUUUAAUAAUUAUGUAAAAUAUCAAAUUUUUUUUGUAAUUAAACUCCAUACCGUCUGAAUUUAUAUUGUUUGCCCUUUAAAUAUUGUUUGGUUAUAUAAGAUUGAUUUUUUAGUUAACUUCAUCUAUGAACUUUCUAGAUUUUAUUAUGAUCUAUCUUUAGCUGUAUUUAUUAUCAAGUAUUUGAAAUCAUUUCCUUUCUAAUUUUAGGUCUAUUUUGUCCCCGCUUAACACCCUCAUUUAUAAACGACACAGAACAUAUCUAUAAACCGACAAUUAUAGGUCCAUAUAGAAUAUGUCCAAUUCAUUCAAAUAUGUUCUCAUAUUUUAUUCCCAAUAUAUAGUAACUUAUAAUCUUAUUUAAUCCGGCAUAUUGCACAUCAGAUCCAUUUGAGCAUCCACGUUUGUGUAACACUUACCUUGUAGAGAUUGUAAUACAACUUAACCGAUUUUAUAAUUAUUCUGUUGAUCCUACCUUUUAUGAUAUGAAUACUAUAUAUGAUAAAAUAACUAGUUACCUAAAAAAUAAUAAACAACAAUAAUAGUAAUGGUUUCUGAAAAAUUAUUUGAAUUUAGAAUUAUUUUAAUUUUUUAGAACUAAAAUAUAAAUUUAAUUUAGGCGAAAUACAUAUAUAGGCCCCUCAACUAUUCGACUUUUUCCGUAUAGGCACAUCAAUUAUGCCAUAUACCUAUUAAACUCUUUACUUUUUCAAAAAUGAUUUCAAUUGAGCACAAUUACUGACAUGACGCUGAUAUAGCAUAGUGCGUGCACUGCUCUCAAUUUAGGAGUGUGAAAUAUUAAAUUUUAGCCUUUUUUUUUUUUUUUUACUUAAAUCUCAUUUAUCUUUUUAUUUUUCUUAAUUCCCUCCUUUCUCAUGAUUUUUUUAUUUUUAAAAAAUAAUUUCUCCCCCUUUUUCCAAGAUCAGUUGUACUGUUCUUCUUCUUUAUUUUUCCUUUUCAUCUUUCUCUCCCUUCAAUUACUUAACAGCUUAACCCGGAAGGGCAUUCGAUUAGACAGUAAAACUCUAGCUUUUCUUGUUCAACAAUGUGCUAAUUCCGGUCACGUGAAGAAGAAAAAUGGAUCCAUUUACAUCUCAAAACUACUGGGUGGAAACACCCCAACGACUUUUUUAGCCAACCAUUUGAUUAAUAUGUAUGGUAAAUGUGGUGAUCAUAUUGAAGCACGUAAGAUGUUUGAUAAAAUGUCUAUGAGAAAUUUAUAUUCCUGUAAUAAUAUGCUUUCUGGGUAUACUAAGUUAGGCAUGAUUAAGGCUGCUAAAAGGUUGUUUGACAAAAUGCCGGAGAAAGACAUUGUUUCUUGGAAUACUAUGGUGAUUGGUCAUGCUCAGGUUGGUUAUUUCAACGAGGCUAUUAAGUUGUAUAGGGAAUUUAGGAGGUUGAGUAUUGGGUUUAAUGAGUAUAGCUUUGCUGGGAUUAUAACUGCUUGUGUUAAGCCCAGGGAUUUUUCUCUCACAGGGCAGGUUCAUUGCCAAGUAAUCGUCGUUGGGUUUUUAUCCAAUAUAGUUCUUUCUAGUUCAAUUGUUGAUGCUUUAUGCCAAAUGUGGGAAGAUGAGCGACGCUAGGAAGUUCUUUGAUGCAACAAAAUAAUUUCUCCCCUUUUUUUCUUUGCACUUGUCAUUGCUCAAAAAUAGAGAGAAAGUAACGUUUGAAAGGAAAGAAGAAGGGGGAAGGGAGGAAUGGGUAGGUGUAGUCGAGUGGGGGUGUGUAUUAAUGUUUUUCUUUUUAAUUUAAAUUUAAUUAUAUUAAAAAAUUAUUUUUAUAAUUAUUUUAAAUUAAAAUGUCGUCUGAUUUGUUAUUUUGCCAUAUCAUUGGCGUGUAUAAUAUAUGCAUUUUACUUUUUUUGCCACAUCAGCAUAUUGUGCUCAAUUGAAAUUAUUUGUGAGGAAGUAAAGGGUUCAAUAGGUACAUGAUCUAAUUGAGGUGCCUAUACGGAAAAAGUCGAAUAGUUGAGGAGCCUCUGUAUAUGUAUUCAAUUUUUAAUUUAUAUUCACUUUCAAAUGAACACCAAUUUUCAAAUAUAAUUUUUACUUAAAAACAAAUAUUUUUUUUUCAAAUUUCAUAGUUUGGUGAAUUUAAUCCACAACUAACCUUUUUUUUCUUCAAUUAGUAUUAAAUAAGUGAAUAGCAAAAUACACCAUAUUACCAGUACAUUUUUGGGCAAGUAGCAAAAGAAGAAAAUAAAUUAGUACUGUAGAAUUUUUUUAAAGAAAAAAGGUAUUUUUAAAAACAAGGAUUUCCAAUCCCGGGACUUGAAACCCGGGUCUCUCGGGUGAGAGCCAAGUAUCCUAACCAACUAGACUACAACGGAUUGUUUAGUUCUUUUCACAAUAAUAUAAAUAACUCUUACAUUUAUGCUCCCUUUGGUCAUUUGGUUGGUUAUCACUUGUUUCAACUAAUUUAUUAUUUUCUAUAAAUAAAAUAUGAAAUAAAAUUAUAUACAGAGAGAGAUCAAACUAUUUAAAAAUUUAAAAUGUCUUGUUAUGAUAAGAGUUCAUAUAUAACACAUUAUAUAAGCAGUUCAUAAAUAUCACAUUAUCGGCAAUAUUAUGAGUUCGAAUAUAACACAUUAUAUAAGUAGUUCAUAUAUAUCAUAUUAUUGGCAAUAUUAUUACUCGAAUAGAAGAAUUACCUGGCGAAUUAUUACAAAUUAACUGAUGGUAUUUAUUCAUUUCAUUUUAAUUUGGAAAAAUGGUUCAAAAUAUAUCUAAACUAUGACGAAAUUUGUUGUAUCCCGCCUGAAUUUUGUGGAGGAUCCUACGACCCUCCUGAAAUAUUUAUUAGUGUAUUUUAGUGACGUUUAUAAGUUAAUAUAUAGUUAAAAUUUACUAAUAAAUAACUAAAAGAGUUUAGUACAAACAAAUGUAAAUAAAAUACGCUAAUAAAUAGUCGGGGGAGAGAAAGAAGGGGNNNNNNNNNNNNNNNNNNNNNNNNNNNNNNNNNNNNNNNNNNNNNNNNGAGGAGGCAUAAUACACUAAAAAUAGUCUAGGGAGCCAUAGGACCCCAAAAAGUUCGUGUGUGUUACAACAAAUUUCAUCAAAGUUUGAGUAUAUAUCAGACCAUUUCCCCUUUAAUUUAUAUAAUUUAUAUGUGACAUGUUUGACUCGAAGCUGAUUUUAAUUGAAAACGGAGAUUAUUGAAAAUUGUGAUCUUAAACAUAUCAUAACAUUUUGUAUAACUUUAAAAACGUAUGAUACUAAACACUCAAAACUUGUUUAGUACUUAAGAGAUGAGCAUUCAGUACCUCCGAACUAUGACCAAAGUUGUUUCGACAUACUCCAACUUCACAGGGAUCCUAUUACCCCUGAACUCAAUUCUAGCAUAUUUUUGUCACUCUUUUAUGCUGAUGUGACACCUUUAUUACAUAAAAUAGGCUCCACAUCAAAGGUGUCAUGUCAGCUAAAAAUGUUGACAAAAGGUGUCAUGUCAGCUAAAAAUAAUGACAAAAAUACUCUAAAAUUUAGUUCUAGAGGUAAUAGGACCCCUGUAAAAUUGGAGUUCAUCAUAACAAAUUUGAUCAUAGAUGAGAGAAUGCUAGAUGCUUUUCUCUUAAUUUCAAGAGUGGUCAUUCUAAUAAAAUUCAUUGUAUCAAAGUUAUAAUACGAUAUAUAUUUAGUGACUAACUGAAAUACACCAAAUAUCCAUAUUGUUUACAUAAAUGAAAUGGAUACACAUUGCAUAUAAACUGAUAAUUGAUUUAGAAUGCACAAAAAUUAAACUCAAAAUAGCUAUUAAAUGAUGAUUUUGGUUUACUAGAGAUAUCACCAUAGUGGUUUAGCAAGAUGGAAAAGUCCUUUUCCUUGAGAUCUUAUUAAAUAAAAAUAAAGAGAACGAAAAAAACUGAAAAAGUUGUUUAAGUUCUUUCUUUUGAAACGAUCAUCUACAAAGUUAUUCGCUUUAUCAGUAUUCAAACCAAAAUCCUGGAUUUUUCAAAUUGGGAGAGAUCAAGAAUUCUCAUCAUUUCUUAGAUUGACGGAGCCAGUUUAGUUCAAUGGGAUCAUUCAUUACAUUAUAUUCCACCAAAGACAUUUCCAUCGAGUUCCAAAAGACCAAAACGAAUACCAGACAUCGUGCAUUUCUUAACCAUAAAAAGUGGAAUACAAGUGCACACAACAAAUUAUACACAAGCAAUAAGAAUGACUUUAACAGGACAAUAUAUAGUUGAUCACUAAAUUAAAGAAAAGAAAAAAAGAAUCCCAAAACUCAGAAUCAGUCAAAAACUUCCCACUCUUGAGUGAUUUUUGUGGAUUGAUGUAAUUGAUUUGGUGCAUUGAGGCUUCCAAUUCCUGAAUCAAACUUUUCCCAUUUGGUAGUCACCAUUGUAUUAGUACCAAUACUACAAUUGCUAGCAAGUUUAGAGUUUCUUGCUUUAAAAUUGUCAAGCAUAUCAACAAAUCUCUGAAUGCGAUGAACCUGCGCGAGGAGAGGGAAAAGUUAUCGUCAGAGACAUCACAAGUGGUGAAAAUAAGUAUCCAACUAUGAGAUGGCGAGUUUGGUUGUUAUGAAAAAAUAACUGUUAAAGUAGUAUUCAUGGUAUAUAACAACAAUAGAAACGGAACAAAAAGAAACAGUAUACAGAAAUGGGACUACGCGGAUGCACCUUGAUACGAGUGGUGUCAUAAGAUGUAUCACGAGGGAAAUUACUCUUGUUACAGUAAUCUUCAUUUCUUUAAAUAUUGACACUGCUUAUACAAAAUUCUGCAUAUGCUAUUUUGAAUAGUGAUGGAUUCAGAAUUAAGUGCACCUUGGUGCUCUGGUUGAAGCCAGCCCUUCUGUCCAGCGACCAGGGAUCGAUCCCCGGGUCACACAACACCUUAGUUUUGAAGGGGAGCCUUGGAGCAAUUGGUAAAGUUGCUGCCAUGUGAUCGGAGGUCACGGGUUCAAGCCAUGGAAACAGCCACAGAAAUACAAGGUAACCCCGGACACCGUGCAUAGCGGUAGGUUUAGUGCACCGGACUGCCCUUUUAUGGAUUCAGAAUUAGAUGUACAUUUCAGAAUUCACUUUCACGACUCAGAACAUAUAGCAUUUAAAUUUUGAAUCUGUCACUACUCAAGAAGGACAUUACAUUUUACUUCUCUUUGAGGUAAAAGUUGGAUGCAUCUCUUAAACCAUCAUUUAAAGAACUAUCUCAACAUACAUUCAAUUGUGUUGCUAUUCCAUGGAGAACUGGAUUAUCAAGCCGAUUGACAUGUCAUAACCCGGUGUUAAAUAUUCAACCUUCCAAUCAUUUUUAUUUCUGCGGAAUUCACAUGUAGUUCAUUUAUUUUAAUGUAACAAAACAUAGUUUUAUGACUUUACUGCUAUCGCGUGUAGACUUCUUCAACUAUAUGUACUUACUAACCUCCUUUCUCCUUUGAGUUCUUGCUUCUCCUUCUGCCUCAAUACUAUCAAGUCUAAGAAGUUGAAUCAUGAACAACUCUGUUAAGACGACAAAUUCUCUGUCCUCAACUCUAGUACCUCUCUUCACAGCUUCCUCUAUGGCCACAACCUACAAGAAAGGCAACAAACUUACAUAAUCAAGCUCGGGAAAUCCUUUUCGAGUCUUCUUUAGGUUGAUUGACGAGAUGAUAAGAAGACAGUCUUGUUUGGUCAAACGAAACUAGAUAAAGAUAGAGAAUGCUUGAUCAGACCUAGCCUAGCAGAGCUAGUCAUGACCAAGUAGAUAGUGUCUUAAAAGUCUAACCCUCUACCGAAUAAAGAGCUACCAAGUAAAGAAAAGAGAGAACAAAUGCGAGUCCAGAGAACACAAGUAGGUCGACCACUUCAAGAACCCACCCUACAUAAUAUCACGUGGCACCACUCGUAUACAAGCCCACUGUUCGACCCACUCAAGUACAAUAAAAAAUCUCAUGAUUUGCCCCAUGUUUAAACAUAUCGGUUAUUAAAUGACGUUUAAGUUGUGGCAUGUGGAUAGUAUGUAAAUCGAGUUUUAUUUUUGGUACCGGAUUUAGCAUUUUUGGCAUUCUUUAUAGUUGAGUUAAUUUUCCAUUACAAAAUUAAUAGUCAUGACUCUGAGACAACAAACUGAAAGUUGAAUGACCAUCAGUAAACUUUACGUACCUUAUGUGAGAGCUUAUCGACCUCUACUCUUACUCGAGCAAUGGCUUCACAAGAGACAGAGUUAACCUGAAUUUUCUUCAACUCUUUGCUGGCUGGAUCUUCCAUUAGGAUCACCUUUGACAUGUCUUUUACACCAGCAAUGUGCAAGCAUUCAUUUUCAUCUUUUUCUUUUCCUUGGAACAAUAAUCUUUGAACAUUAGGAUGUAGGCCAGUUCUUUCACAAAGAAUUUUCUUCAAGUUCCCUUCAUUUCAUCAACACAAAAGCAAUUAGGCCACAAGUUAAGAAGAAAAAUAUAGUUAGCAGACAUUAGCAGGGAAGUAUGCAGAGUCACAAAUAGCCUAAUGCUAAUCGCCACGACGCCACCAACUGAAAAUCCUACUUCAGUAAUCUCCACAGUUUGUUUUGACUUUAACUUCUAUACACCGAGUUGAGGUGGAGUGUUCAAACCCCAUCAGUAGUGUAGCAAUCCCACCCUCUCCUCUGAUGCACUCCUUUUGUGUCAAUUUAUGCGGCACGGUUGGACUUCGAGAUUCAAAUUUAUAUACUUUGAUCGUGGAUUUAGAUAUAGAAGCUCCAAGUUUUUUAAAUAAAAUUUAUAUAUUUGAAAACUAUGUAAAAUGUAUGAUAAAUCACACUAUCAAAGAAAAACUAGGUUGGCUCUCGAAAUUCCAACCGAGCCACAUAAAUUGGGAUGGAGGGAGUAAUUACAUCAAAUUUUUUUUUUUUUUUAAAAUGAUAAUUACAUGUAAUUCUCAUUAAUAUGUGAAACUAGUUACCUUAAAAACAAAACUGCCAACCUGCUAUAAUAAGUUAAGUAACACGGACUAUAUGGAAUUUUUUGUAUGUCACUACUAUGUAUAAGUUAGAUCCAUUUGUUUUACCCUUUUAUUUCCUGAAAAGCAUAAAAGGAAUUGGUUAUCCUUCUAUGCUAAAGUAAAGUUUGUGUUUUACUUUGAAUAACAAUGUUGGUGGCUGCAAGUGCUUUUGGGAGAAUCUACUGUCUAACCAAAAAAAGUGAAUCUUGAAUAUUCAUCAUAAAUUAAUCUGUUUUAAGCUAGUCGUCAACCUAUCAUAAAUUCAUAAUUCUCCUUUAUCCGAAGUGGAAACUCGAUGCACAAAACACCCCGUAUUCAUGCAGGAUCCCGGUAAGGGCUGCACCCCAAGAGCCAAAGAGAAGUAAUGUAGGCAGGCUCUAAUUCUGCUACUUGAACCAUUGAACUAUAGAUCACAGUGCGGGUUCAUCCAAUCCAUACUAUUUUUAUAUGGUCAAAAAUAUUUUUAUGUAUGUAUAAUAGAUGUUGAACCCCUUCGACUAGUUCGUAUCACAUGGAAAAAAUUUAGUGUUGCUCCAAGNNNNNNNNNNNNNNNNNNNNNNNNNNNNNNNNNNNNNNNNNNNNNNNCUCAUUAUAGGCGGAGUCUGAGAAACGGCCGAAUAACAUUAUACGCAAUCUUAGCUUGCAUUUCUUUCUACAAGAGACUGUUUACACAGCUCCAAGGUCACGUGACAACAAUUGUUUAAGUUGCGCUAAGACUCCUCUUAACUAUGAUCAACAAUAUCAAAAAUGAAAAAAAAAAAAAAAAAAAACCUCAUGUAAAUGAUCAAGUGGUUUACCAAAUGUUGAUUCAGCAGGGACAAUAACAUCAUGGUAACAAGAAUCAUAAGAAACUUUAAUCUUGAUCAUAGGAUCAGCAACUGAAUUUUCCUCAACAGAAACUCCAACUCUUUUUUGAACCAAUAAACCUCCAGGCCUAACUUCCCAAUCAAUAAUACAAGCCUUAUUUUCCACUUCACUACCCUCAGUGUAUUUAUUCUCAUCUUUAAUUACCUCAUUCUUACUUUUUGAAGAAGUUGAUGCUUUUUUUCUCAUGUUUUUAUUCCACGAAAAAAAAAAAAAGAAAGUAAAAUGAGAAAAUAUAUUUUAAAAAGGUGAGAGUUGAUUGAGAAAUUAAAGUUUGGUGGUGAACGUACUGAAUAAGUUGAGGAUGAAUUGAGUGAAGACCAUAAAUGAAUGAGACUUGACCAAAAAAUAAAGCCCUUUGUACUCACUUUGAUGGGGACUACUGGAGAGUGACUUGACAAUCUGUGAUAGAUCAGAAUUAAAUAUACUAACUAAUCAAAGAUAUUAAAUAUUUAUUAUAUAUAUAUAAAAUAUAUUUUUAAUCAAAUAUUUAAAAAAAAAAUUAAAUGAAAGAUGGCUCCGCCCGCACUUACUAUGUUUAUGUUUCCUUCUUUCUUUGUUGAAGAAACUUGCAGCACCAACAAAUGUUGCAAUGAGAUUAAUAAGAUUUUUUCAGCUUUACUUCUUCCGUUUCUAAUUCUUUUUGUCACUUUUCAGGUUGUGGGGCCUCUUAAGAAGCUAUGUAUACAGGAAACAAUUAUACGUCAUGUAGUCUAAUAUAGCUGACUUUAGAUAUUUGAGUUCAGUAAAAAAAUAUUUUAAAAAAUUUUUUUUUUUACUUUUUAAAUAUAGUACAAGUAUUAUUUUAUUCCUCUACACCUCAAAUAUAUUUUUAAAACUUUCUAUACUUAUUUGUCUUUUGAAUUUUAUUUUUUAUUAUUUUCACUCUUUUUUUCUUUUAAUUUAUUAUUCUAUUUUUUAUUAUUUUUACUUUUUUAUUUUUCUUUAAUUUUAUUAUUUUUACUUUUUAUUUUUUCCUUUAGUUUUAUUUUCAUGUUUUAAUUCAUUUGUCUCAACCUUUAUUUUUUUCUCUUUUUUCUUCUAUCUCAAGCAUUAUUUAUUUCUUUUUUUUUUUUUUUUUAUUUAUUUUUUUUUUACCCUUUUUUUUUUUUUUUUUUAAUUAAUUUGUCUUUAACCUUUAUUUUUUUUAUUUUUAUUUUUUAUCAGUUCUCUUUUUUUCCCUCAUUUUUCUCAAACUUUAUUUUUAUUUAUCCUCUCUUUUUUUUUUAAUUCUUCACUUUUUUCUUAAUAUUUAUUUUUUUCUUGUCUUUUUUUCUCACUUUUUUUUUAUUUCUCUAGUUUGUUUGAUCGUUUUUUUUGUUUUUUCAGUUCUUUUUUUCUCCCUCAUUUUUUUCAAACUUUAUUUUUAUUUUUCUCAAUUUUUUUUUAAUUCUUCGCUUUUUUCUUGAUCUUUAUGCUUUUUCUUUCCUUUUUUUUUAAUCUUUUUUUUUAUUUCUCUAUUUUGUUUGGUCGCUUUUUUUUGUCAACUUCUAUUAUACUUUGCUAAUAAAUAGAAAAUUGGAUAAUCUGCAAAGGGAUCUUUUUUUUUUUACAUCAAAGAAAAUUUAAGGGCAUGAAUUGUUGUUACGAAAUUCUUUGACAAAUUCUUGAGAUAAGUCGUGUCUCUAAGGCGAGAGUUGUAGAAUAUCUCAUAAAUAAAGACUUAAUGUGGUAGUGUCAACUCUUGCCCGUAGGGCAUAAUUUAUUAUUUGAAAGUCCUUGAGCAAAGUUUGUCUCUAAGGCAAGAGUUGUAGAACAUUCCAUAAAUGAAGACAUAAUAUGGUAGUGUCAACUCUUGCCCGUGGGGCAUAGUUUAUUAUUUGAAAGUCCUUGAGCUAAGUCUUGCCUCUAAGGCAAGAGUUGUAGAACAUUUCAUAAAUGAAGACAUAACGUGGUAGUGUCAGCUCAUGCUCGCGGGGCAUAAUUUGUAGUUUGAAAGUCCUUGAGCCAAGUCUUGCCUCUAAGGCAAUAGUUGUAGAACAUCUCAUAAAUGAAAAUAUAACAUGGUAAGUUAACUCUUGCCCGUGGGGCAUAGUUUAUUAUUUGAAAGUCCUUGAGCUAAGUCUUGUCUCUAAAGUAAUAGUUGUAGAACAUCUCAUAAAUGAAAAUAUAAUGUGGUAGAGACAACUCUUGCCCAUGGGGCAUAAUUUGUUCUUUGAAAGUCCUUGAGCUAAGUCUUGCCUUUAAGGCAAUAAUUGUAGAACAUCUUGUAACUGAAAACAUAACGUGGUAGAGUUAACUCUUGCCCGUGGGACAUAAUUUGUUGUUUGAAAGUCUUUGAGCUAAUUCUUUCCUCUAAGACAAUAGUUGUAGAACAUCUCAUAAAUAAAAACAUAAUGUGGUAGAGUCAACUCUUGCUCAUGGGGCAUAAUUUAUAGUUUGAAAGUCCUUGAGCUAAAUCUUGCCUUUAAGGCAAAAAUUGUAGAACAUCUCAUAAGUGAAAACAUAACGUGGUAGAGUCAACUCUUGUCCGUGUGGCAUAAUUUAUUGUUUGAAAGUCCUUGAGUCAAGUCUUGCCUCUAAGACAAUAGUUGUAGAAUAUCUCAUAAAUGAAAAUAUAAUGUAGUAGAGUCAACUCUUGCCCGUGGGGUAUAAUUUGUAGUUUGAAAGUCCUUGAACUAAGUCUUGCCUUUAAGACAAUAGUUGUAGAACAUCUCAUAAAUGAAAACAUAACGUGGUAGAGUCAACUCAUGCUCGUGGGGUAUAAUUUGUUAUCUGAAAGUUCCUGAGCUAAGUCUUGCAUUUAGGUAAGAGUUAUAAAAUAUCUCAUAAAUCAAAAUAUAAUGUAGUAGUGUCAACUCGUGCCCAUGAAACAUAACUUGUUUGAAAGUCAUAAGUUUUGCCUCUACAAUGUAGUAGUGUCAACUCUUGCCCAUGAAACGUAGCUUAUUGUUCGAAAGUCGUAAGUCUUGCCUUUAUAAUGUGAUAGUGUCAACUCUUGCUCAUGAGAUGUAACUUGAAUGGAAGAAAUCGAAGAAAAGAACAAAAAUAAUAAAAAUUACGAAAAAAAAUGAAGAAAAAUAUUAAAAAAAUAAAAAUCAAAGAAAAUGUAGAAGUUGAGAGAGAAUAGGGAAAAAAUAAAGGUUGAUAAAAAAAAAAGAAAGAUUAAAUAAAAAUAAAGGUCGAGAAAAAUUUAAAAAGAAAAAAAAAUAAAAAUCAAAGAAAAAUAAAAAAAAGUUUUUUUUUUUUUUUUUAAUAAAAGUAGACAUUGAAAGAUGUAAAGAAAAAAAUAAGGGUUGAGAAAAAUAAAAAGAACAAAAAAAAGAGGAAAGAAAAAAAAAGACAAAAAAAAGAAGUUGAGAGGAAAAAAGAAAAAAGUAAGGGUUGAAAAAAUUAAAAAUAAAAAUUAAAGUAAAAUUAAAAAUAGAAAAAAAAUAAAAGUUGAAAGAUAUAAAUAUGGAGGUGUUACCCAUUAUGAGGAUCAUUUAUGUAAUUUACUCCAUUGAUCAGGAGCAAUUUUGUCCAAAAAAAUAUUAGUUAAUAGGUAAAGGCUAUUUAAGGAAGCUUUUUUAUUUGGGGCUAAAAUUUGAAAGCUAUCCUAAUUUGGGUCUAUUUUUGAGAUUCACCCGUAUAUAUCAUGUCCUUAUUUAGUUUUUUUUUUUUUCAAAAAAAAAUUAAUAUAAAUGUGUGGCAUGAGUUAAUCACUCAGAUUUCCUAAUUGUAUGUUUGGUAUGAAGGAAAAUGUUUUCCUAAAAAAUAUUUUCUUGGAAAAUAAGUUGAUUUCUUACUUGUUUUUCUAUAUUUGGUUGGUGAAUGAAAAAUAUUUUCUGAAAAAUAUUUUGUAGUGUUUGGUUUGUGAAUGAAAAAUAUUUUUCAAAAAAUACAUUUUAGUAUUUAGCUAAAGCAUAAAAAUAUUUUUUUUUUAAAAUAAUUUUUGAUCUCAAAAAAAUAUUUUUUAGGGUGUGUUCGAUAUGCUAGAAAAAUAAAUUAUUUCUUACUUAUAUUCGUGUGUUCGUUAUGCAAAUUGGACAAGUAUAUAUUUUUUAAAAGUAUUUGUAUAUAUUUAACAAAAGCAAUGAGAACGAAUAUGAUAAAAAGGGCGGAAUAAGAAAAAAGUUUUGAAUUUUUUUUAAAAAACAAAUUUAAAACAUUAAUUUCUUUUUAUAAGAGGGGUUGGUAGGUGGGGGGUGGGAUUGUCAAAAUAGGUAGUAAGGGCGGUUAAGAAAAUAAUUUUGAUUUUUAUAAAAAUAAAUUAUAUGUUUUUUUUNNNNNNNNNNNNNNNNNNNNNNNNNNNNNNNNNNNNNNNNNNNNNNNNNNNNNNNNNNNNNNNNNNNNNNNNNNNNNNNNNNNNNNNNNNNNNNNNNNNNNNNNNNNNNNNNNNNNNNNNNNNNNNNNNNNNNNNNNNNNNNNNNNNNNNNNNNNNNNNNNNNNNNNNNNNNNNNNNNNNNNNNNNNNNNNNNNNNNNNNNNNNNNNNNNNNNNNNNNNNNNNNNNNNNNNNNNNNNNNNNNNNNNNNNNNNNNNNNNNNNNNNNNNNNNNNNNNNNNNNNNNNNNNGGGAUUGAGGGUCGAAGUAGAGAUGAGUGAUUUUGAGAGUUGUGUGAAUAUUUCAACUUAAGAAUGAGUUUGAAAGAGAGUUUUGAAAAAUAUUUUUCUACUUUUUAAAGGGAAGUCAUUUUCCUUAGAUUUGAGGAAAAUAAGUUGAUUUGAAAAAUAUUUUCCAAAAUGUUUAAGCCAACCAAACAUGAAAAAAUUGAAAAAUAUUUUCUAGAAAAUAUUUUCCUUCACACCAAACACACAAUCAGUGUUUAUUUUCAAGACUAAUUACUUCUAAGGGUAAAAUGAGACGAAUAGUAAUCAAUUAUGCCUUAACUUUAAAAAAUGACAAAUAUUAUGAAAUAUUUAUUUUUAGUAAGGAUGAUAAGUAUUUAAGAACGGAAAAAUAAUUAGAGGGUUGUGUUUAAAAAUCAAACAUAAAAAAAAUUAUGUUACAUAGUGUUUCUCUCCUACAUGGAUCUUAUACCAUGCAAAACUGAUUAUACAAUGCAAAUUCGAUUUAAUUGAGGCGUCCAAUCUGAAUAUCAAAUACUAAUCGAAAAAAAAAAAAAAAGACUUAUAAGCAAAUAUAGAUACCAUUCUUGAUUAAAUUAGUGAAGUUUCAAGGGAUGUCUCUCAAAUUUUGCCACGCAGCAAUAUAUUAUAUUGCAGGUAAGUAGGCUUUUUAGAGUUUAGAUCAACUAAUGUGGGGUCUAUGAGAAAGAAAUGAGCUCCAAUAAAACCACUUUUCGGUCUUAUCUUUAAAUUAAUUACUAAUUAAAAGUUUACUGGUAAAUUUUGAAUUUUUGAGAUAAUCUUUUUCAUUGUAGGGAGGUGGAAAUUGGAAUUUUGUUAUUUGUAAAUUUUUCUAAUCAAUGAAUAGUAAGGAAUAAUUUGUUAAAGAAAUGAUUUCUUAGGAUUGGUUACUGAGAGUUUCUUGGACCGACUCAAAAAUAUUUGGUCUCGAUUAUGUUGUUUUUUGGAUUUAGUAAAAUCUGUAUUUUAUAAUAAGAAAUAUAUAUUCAAAUUUAUCAUAUAAACGGUCAAAUAAAGUUGUACCUCUGUAUUCACAACUUUAAACUUCAAUAAUAAGUUCAACCCAACUUAUGAAUGUCAACAAAAAGAAGUUCAAAUUAUUUUCUGAAAAAUAGCAAAUCAAACAUUUAGAAAAAGAUGAAAAUUAGAAGAUUCAAGUCCACCGAAUCCACGGCGUGUUCUUAAGAAAAUCAUUCCUUCAAGUAUCAGAGGUUAUGAAAUAUAUCCUCGCAAAAUAAAAUGAAUCACUUCGACAGAAUAGCGGUACCUCAAACUUUAUCGAACUACGAACGCACUUAAUGAUAUUAAAUCACACUAGAGUUUUCAACAAAAAAGAGUGUUUUUACUACAAAAUUUCAUGUCUAUACCUGAGGCAAAAUUCAAGUAUUUAUAAUCAUCAAGGUGUGCUUCAUGAAGAGAAACAAUGGUUUAGAAAGGUGCACCCUUUCAUAAAUAUGCAACUCUUCGAAAAAGUCACAGCCCAUUGAAAAGGUCAUAACUAUCCAAACUAAAAAGGUGCAUAUUCAAAUUACAUCUUUCUCUUGAUGUCUUUUCGGAAACGCAUCUAUUAAUUUUUCUUUCACACCUCUUAAAAAGCUAACAAUCCACUCACAACCCAAACCAGGGCCUAACCGUGACGGUCAUCUCAAGUCCCACACGGAUCGGAGAACACCCUUUACACCUAACAAACAACACAAUAUCACGCUAUCGGAUGAAUUACGAACAUAUAACAAGAUAAAAUUCAAAGAAUAAAAGGUACGUCUAUGACCAAUAACCAACAACCGGACAAAACGGUCGAUCAACAUUACCCAAGUCCACAAUAAUCCAACAAAGUCUUCUAAUAAGAGAACCAAAAAUUAGUCUUGGUCGGGACAUGCCCCCAAUUCUGACAGAUGACAAUGAUAAUGACAACGAUAAUGUGUCACGAUUCAAACCAGGGCUUGACCGUGACAGAUAUCUUAAGUCCCACGUGGAUCCCACGUGGAUCGAAAAUCACCCAAUUCACCUAACCUAGUCAGCACAACAACCUCAAAUGUCGGAUGAAUUCCGAACAUAUAACAAGAUAGUGUAAACUAAGACUCAUAUUUAUUCAUGAAAUGUCUAAACCAAUUACCAGUAAUCAAACAACCGUCUAUCACCGAACCAAUCCAUCAAAACAACAGACCCAAGUCCACAGUAAUCCAACAAAGCCUCUAUAUAAUUGAAGUUAAUAAAAUAUCGGGACAUGCCCCGACAGUAGCCAAAAUAAAGUCUAAACAACUUUUGAAAUAUAAAAUAUAACAAUCAUGAAAUAAAGUCUUCCGAAGUAUGGAAGCUCACCACUUCAAUGUCAACUCACAGAACACUCGAACACUUGAUCGCUGCUUAGGAAAAAUAGAAGAAGUUUCGACGCCUGCAUCGCGUGGGGAUAAAACAUUCCAAGAUAGUUAACGGUUGGAGCGCUAGCAUGUAACUCAGGGAUAGAGGAAUAAAAUAAUGUCAUCAUUCAAAACCAAGUCAAGUCAUUAUAUGCAAUCACAUACACACACACAUAUAUACUGUGUCGGGAUAGAAAAUAAGGUUUAGCAUGCAUUUAAAAGCCUUAACCUGGAUUGUAUAGCAUAAUCGUUAUAAAAUAAGACACCCACGGGCUAUAUGGGUCAAGUUCUCCCCUAAUUGGAAGGGCCUCAGUGUGAGUAGCCGCACGAACCAGAGAAUAUCCACAACCGUAUAUGCCUUUGUGGGAGACUCGAACCUCCCGACAUAAUCAAGGUGACUUAAGCACCAAUGUAUACAAUAUGGGGGGCUCGAACCUCCUAUUCACAUAUCCAUUUAAGGGACUUGAACCUCUUAGUCAUAUAGAACCCACACCAGCUAGCGUGAUUUCUAGUGUUAGUCCUUCGAACUCCACUUUCAUGGCUCGGCUACACAUCCCGUUUCAAAGAUCAAUUAAAACAUUCAUUACACAUACACAACCAUUAAUCCCAUUACUUACCAAAGGCAUCGCAUUGGUAUCGUCAUACCAACCUCCACUUACAAGCGUACAACAUACCAUAACCAUUAUAAAUCAACUUUGGGACUCAAACCCAUUGUUUAAACAAAUGACAUCAAUUCAAUUCAACAUUUAGGGACUCGAAUCCAUUUAGUCAAUUAAACCACCAACAUUAUGAUUCAAAUCAAUUUAUGGCCAACAAGACCUUCAUAAAACAAUUUACCAAACAUUAACAUUCUAAGUCAAUGCCUUAGUUCAAAACACAAUUCAACUUGUGAUAAGAUCAUUCUCAUUGAUAUUUUCACAAACAAGUUGAGGGCAUACCAUUAUCAAACCAUUAUUCAAGCUAAAAACCAUCAAGUUUAGGGUUAAAAAUUCCCCAUUCAUUAAACCACAAUUCCUAUGCACCCACAUGUGCAAAACCAUUAUCAAAAUAUAUAUAAUCAUAAUUUAAACCAUGAGAAAACAAUACUCAAUAUUAUGCAUUCAAAGCCUUAACCUUGAUUUUCAAAACCACAAUUAAUGACUCAUGAACUAUGUUUAAAACACAUAAUUUUAGUGAACUAAUAAUGAAGGAAGAGUCACUUGCCUGAGUUAAGAAUAUUCAUGGAGAGAAUUUGAUCUUUAAGCUCUUAGAUGACCUCCUCGAAGAAACCCUAGCUCAAUUCUUCUUGAGAAGUUUUAGAGAGAGUUUAGAGAGUGUUUAAUCUUCUAAAAUAUAUAAUGAAUGACCAAAAUGUGUUAUAAGAUAUGGGGUCUUAAAGGCUUGGGGUGGAAAAUAUCCAAAACACUCUCAGCUUAAAAGUUAUGAAAAAUUCGCAGGUGGAUACAAAUUAACCCUCCAACUCGUCACCACAACAUACGAGUGGUUUCAAGUCAUCAUUAGGUCAGAAGGUUGGACAUCACACCCAGUCCAACUUACAACUUCCUUGGUCUACUCGUCAUAAUACCAUACCAUCAAGUCAUAUCCAAGGCAGAACAUCAAGGGCUAUACACUGGAGAACAUAUGAUUGGACCCUAAACUUCUCGUCAUAAGACCAUACGACUCGUAUAGAGUCUCUCGUAACUAAGACAAUAUUUGGCUAGUAAUACACUGACCAACAUACAAAUAGGGUUCCUAGACUUGUCACCACACCAUACGACUUAUGGUGUGAGUCGUAUGAUGAAUAGAAGGUUCAAAACUCAAGAAAUUUACAAGCGCCUAAGCUUGGGGCGUUUCACUCUCCCUCCUUAGGAUCAUUAGUCCUCGAAUGGUGGGACAAGGAAAUACAAUCACGAUUGGACUUCACAUGCCUCUACUAUUACCUUUAACUAAGUUAGAAAACAAUGAUGUCAAGGAAUUCACAAUUUACCUUUGAUAAAGACAGAAAAUAAAGAUGCUAAGAAUAACACAUACAUCAACCAUGAAUUUUUAAAAUCGGGAAUAGGAAUGGGUACUUGGACUUUAUGUCCUCUCCGGCUUUCUAAGUAGCUUCCUUGAACUUUUGGUUUCGCCAUAGAACCUUUACCGAAGCCACGUCUUUUAUUACUCAUCAAGAUCUCCUCAUGGACAAAGAAUCUGAAAUAUCAAUGUUCUCUAAGGGAACAACCAACGAAGACUCAUCCACACAUUUCUGCAACAUGGAUACAUGGAAUACUGGAUGAAUAGAACUCAUGCUAGAGGUCAAUUCCAACUCAUAUGCAACACUACAAACCCUUCUCAAAACCAUAUACGGGCUAACAUACCAGGGUAUGAGCUUUUUCUUCUUCCCAAACUGCAUUACUCCCUUCAUGAGAGACACCUUCAAGAACACCCAAUCUUUAACCUCAAACUCCAAGUCCCUUCGCCUUACGUCCACAUAGGAUUUUUGCCGACUUUAGGUAGUCUUAAACCUACCACGAAUCAUCUUCACCUUCUCCAUAGCUUGGUGAACCAAGUCCAAGCCAAACAUCUCCGUUUCACCAACCUCAAACCACCUAAUAGGAGAUAUACACCUCCAACCAAGCAAUGCCUCAAACGGGGUCAUACCAAUGCUAUAAUAGUACUAUUGUUAUAAGCAAAUUCAAUUAGAGGCAAAUGGUUGAACCAACUACCACCAUAAUAAUCACACAGGCUCGCAACAUAUCUUCUAAAUUUUGAAUAGUCUUUUCAGCUUGUCCAUCUGACUGCAGGUGAAAAGUCGUACUAAGACUCACUUUAGUCCCCAAACCAUGCUGAAACGGGUACAAAAAAUACGAUGAGAACUGUGUACAAUGAUAAUCGAGUCAGGCGUAUCGUGCAACUUUACAACCUACCGAAGGAACAACUGUGCAUAAUCCUUGAUAGAAAAAAUGGUCCUCACGGGCAAGAAGUGAGUCGACUUAGUCAUCCUAUCCACGAUGACCCAAAUGGAGUCACACUGAUUCCGCGACCGUGGAAGGCCGGUAGUAAAAUCCAUAUUAAUUACCUUCCAUUUUCACACCGAUAGUUCAACUUCUUGGAGUAGCCCACCGGGCCUUGUGUGCUCCACCUUUACUUGCUGACACACCAUAUACUUAGCCACAAAGUUAGCUACAUCCUAUUUCAUGUUGUUCCACUAAUACACCUCAUUAAGGUCAUGAUACAUCUUUGUCGAAUUGGGAUGAACCAUAUACUACGAUUCAUGGGCCUCGACCAAAAUUAUGCCCACAACUUACCCACAUCAUCCUUGAUCUUCAUCAAAAGAGGAUCUAAUACAUGUUUCUCAUUUAUUUUUAAACCAAGAGAUGAUUGUGCCACCUGUUGCACAAACACAUCACCAUCCUCAGUGUCCAUGAGAUGAACUCCAAGGUUAGCCAAACGGUGAAUGUCCUUUAUCAAUUCCCGCUUAUCCUUAUUUACAUACAAUAAGUUUCCCAUGGACAACCUGCUAAAAGCAUCAACAACUAUAUUAGCUUUACCUGGAUAGUAGUAAAGACUUAUAUCAUAGCUCUUCAGAAACUCAAGCCACCCCCUUUGCCUGAGAUUAAGCUCUUUCUGAGUGAACAUAUAUUGCAGGUUCUUAUGAUUAGAAAAGAUAUCCACAUGGACCCCAUACAGAUUGUGAUGCCAAAUUUUUAAUGUGAAUACCACAACUAACAAUUCUAAGUCAUGAGUCGAAUAGUUCUUCUUAUGAACCUUCAACUAUCUAAGGCAUAAGCAACCACUUCGCCAUGCUACAUCAACACAUAACCCAAACCAACCUGGGGCGCAUUACAAUAGAAGACAAAACCUUCAGUACCCUCAGGUAGAGUCAAGACCGAAGAUGAAGUCCUCUUAUCUUUUAGCCUCUCAAAGCUACCCUUGCAAGCAUCAAACCAUAAGAAUUUCACUUUUUUCUGAGUCAACUUGGUUAAUGGAGCAGCAAUAGAAGAAAUUUUUUCCACAAACCUCCUAUAAUAACCAGCUAAACCCAAGAAACUCUGAAUAUCGAUUGGAUUUGCAGGUCUAGGCCACUUCUUAACCACAACAACCUUCUGAGGAUCCAUCAUAAUCCCUUCACUAGACACGACAUGACCCAGAUAAGUUACGAUAUUCAACCAGAACUCACACUUAGAGAAACUAGCAUACAACUGUUGAUCGUUCAAGGUCUGCAAUACCAGGCAGAGGUGAUCGACAUGAUCCUCCUCACUCUUAGAGUAUACUAAGAUAUCAUCAAUGAAUACAAUAAUAAAAAGAUAUUAAAACUAAUGAAAGAUCCUAUUCAUUAAAUCCAUAACUACCGCAGGGGCAUUGGUCAAGCCAAACAACAUCACCAAGAACUCAAAAUGCCCAUACCGAGUACGGAAAGAUAUUUUAGGGACAUCUACCUCCUUAAUAUUUAAUGUAACCGAGAUCGAAGAUCGAUCUUAGAGAAGAAUUUGGCACCCUAAAGCUGAUCAAAGAGAUCAUCAAUUCUCGGAAGGGAAUACUUAUUCUUUACCGUCACCUUAUUCAAUUUUCCGUAAUCAAUAUACAUCCGAAGAGGACCAUCCUUUACGAAUAACACCGGUGCACCCUAUGGGGACAAUCCCAUUGCAUAUGCCCAAUCUAACCACAUAUAAUACAUUGGUUCCCCCUUCUCAUAUUGACCACGAUGAUGCUGACCACAUAAUAUGCAAGAAGGGUAGGAUGGUGCUGACUGGGCCCCAUUGGACUGAGAUUAGGCACCCUAUGCCCUAGAAGCAUCACCACCCUGAAAGUGUCGAUCACCAGACGACUUUGGAUAGGGAGCACUAGCCAUCAAAUAGGAUUUAGGACUCCCCAGCUCUUCUUCUUAGGCCACUUUCCACUCUGCUACUGGCCCCCAUGCUGUUCUAAAUAUCAGAAUUUCUUACUUUGUUUCUCACCAAUCUCAGCUUGCUUUUUUUAUCCUCUUUGACUUGCUGCAUAUACACAACCAAUCUGGAGAUGUCCAUGUCCUUGUUCAAUAAGGUAACCUUACUCUCAAGAAUCAACUCACGAGACAAUCUCGAAGCAAACUUUCUCAUCCGAAUCCUAAUGUUAUAUACCAUCUCAGAAGCAUACCUGGACAACUGAUGGAAUUUCAGAGCAUACUCCUUGACUGUCAUUCUUCUUUGCUUCAAGUUAAGAAAUUCCUCUGUUUCUGCCUCUCUCAACUCCUGAGGAAAGAAGUGAUCCAGAAACGCACUAGAGAAAUCAUCCCAUCAGGAAGAACCAACGUCUUUGCCUUUCAAUUAUUCCCACUCUUUGUACCAUUGGUAUGCCAUAUAUUUUAAUUGAUAGGCAGCAAAUUCCACAUUUUAUACCUCUGAAGCAUCUAUAACCCGAAUAAUCUUCUUCAUCUCAUCAAUGAAACUUUGAGGAUCCUCUUCAAACUUAGCACCAGUAAACAUUGAAUGAUACAACCUCAUAAAUUGGCCAACUCUAGUGGCCUCAGACGAACCCAUAGCGACAAUAGCAGAACCCGACUGUUGUGACUGAGACGUCACCAACUGAGUUAAUAGGUUAAUGGAGAGAUAAAACUCAGCAUUAGUAACUUCCCUGGGAGACGACUAAGUAUGUGUUUUUCUCUCAAGAGUAGGAUCAGUGGGGAUAAGCGGAACCCCAUGAGGACAAUCAGAUGUAACAACCCUUGAUUGGGUUUGAACCCUAAAAGUUGGAUGAGCUCCGUCCAUAUUAUCCUCAGAUGGGAUAAAAGAGUUCAAAUGAACAUCAAAUCUUCUUGGAGUCAUGAUCUGAAAGGUGAGCAAACGAAAAUCAGAAAAAUUUAAGACCUUAGACUUUAUACCUCGAAGUUAAGACAACAAGAAAGGGAAACAUUUAUAAAUGUCUUAUAGCCUUUCCCUUAUAAGUGUGGCGCGCUACUCACCCAUAAAAGAGACUCCACUUCACACAGCUUUAUGGAUACCCAAUUGACCAUGAAUCUAGGCUCUGAUACCAACUUUAUCACGACUCGAACUAGGGCUUGAUCGUGAUGGGUAUCUCAAGUCCCACGUGGACUGGAGAUCACCCCCUUCACCUAACCUAGUUAGCACAACAACCUCAAAUGUCGGAUAAAUUUCAAACAUAUAACAAGAUAGUGUAAACUAAGACUCAUAUUUAUUCAUGAAAUAUCUAAACAAUCACCGGUAAUCAGACAAUCGUCUUUCAUCGAAUCAAUCCACCAAAACAACACACCCAAGUCCACAAUAAUCCAACAAAGCCUCUAUAAAACCAAAGUCAUUAAAAUAUUGGGACAUGCCCCCGAUAAUAGCUAAAACAAAAUCUAAACAAUGUCUGAGAUAUAGAAUAUAACGACCAUGAAAUGUAGCCUUUCAAAGUAUGGAAGCUUACCACUUCAAUGUCAACUCACGAACCACUCGAACACCUGAUCAUUGCGCAAAAAAAAUUGAAGAAGUUCCGACGCCUACAUCGCGUGGGGAUACAUCAUACGUAGACGGUUAGUGGUUGGAGCACUAGCAUGUAACUCAGGAUAGAAGAAUAAAAUAAUGUCACCAUUCAUAACCAAGUCAGUCAUCACAUGCAAUCAUAUAUAUAUAUAUAUAUAUAUAUAUAUAUACCGUGCUGAAAUAGGAAACAAGGUUUAAGAUGCAUUUAAAAACCUUAACCUAGGUUAUGUAGCAUAACCAUCAUAAAACAAGGCACUUAUGGGCUAUAUGGUUCCAAUUCUCUCCUAACUGGAAGGGCCCUAGUGCGUGUAGCCGCUAGAACCAGAGAAUAUCCACAACAAUAUAUUUCUUUGUGGGAGACUCGAACCUUCCAGUACAAUCAUGGUGACUUAAGCACCAAUGUAUAUAAUAUGGGGGAUGGGAACCUCCUAUUCACAUAUCCAUUCAGGGACUCGAACCUUCCUGUCAUAUAGAUAACCAUACUGACUAGCGCAUUUCUAGUGUUAGUCCUUCGGACUCAACUUUCAUAGCCCGACUACACAUCCUACUUUAAAGCCCAAUUAAAACAUUCAUUACAUAUACAGAACUAUUAAUCCCAUUACUUACCAAAAGCAUUCUGUUGGUAGAUAGUGGUGGUGUAGACGAAAGAUAAAGGGAGUGAGGUAGCCAAGGUGGCGAUGAUGGUGCGGACGAACAACGAAGGUUAUGAUGGUGGUGGACUAUAUGUAUUAAUCAUAAGUAAAUUGAACAAUCAAUUAUUAGAUUUUUUAUGAGAAUGAUCAAAGUGGCGGUGGUGGUGAGGACGAACGACAGAGGGGUGGGGUAGCCAAGGUAGCGGUGAUAUUGCGGACGAACAACGGAGGUGAUGGUGGUGGUGGAUUAUAUGUAUCAAUCACAAGUAUCAAGACAUAUGCACGUGUAUCAAUCAUAUGUAUCAAGACAUAUACAUAUGUAUCAGACAUAUGUAUCAAAUAAAUGUAUUUAAUACAUAUAUAGAUACAUAUGAAAAAUUUGUGUACUCUUUCAUAAUUUUAAGGAUGAUGCAUAUUUUGGUCAUUUUAAUGAGUUCACCAUCCGCAUUCAGUUUGGGUAUUUUUCAAUUGAUACAUAUGGUAUUUUAUUUAAUUUUGUGAUACAUUUUAUACGCACAUCAUUGAUAUAUUUUAUCCCGUGAGAAACGACAUGUGUAAAACUGAUAUAGUAGCAUAAAAUAUAUGUAUUGGUGUUGUUAAUUAGUCAUCAAAAAGAUAUACAUUACCAAUAUGAUACAUUUAUUGUUGGAAUACUGGUGAUACAUAUGACAAGCACAUUGUGAUAGUGAUUCAUAUUUUUUAUUUAUUUAUAAAUGUACAUCUAACAUAUGUUUGACAUAUGUAAACUAUUUAUUUUUGGUGAGAAUAAAUUUUUAAUAGGUAUUGAGUAAUUUUAUCAAAUGUAUCAUCAUGAUACAUCUGGAAUCAAAUGUAUUUAUACCACGAUUUGCACCUAAUUUUACUCUCUUCAAUAAUUGAAAAUCAGUUGCUUCCUUAUUUAACUAACCACUAAAUUACAAAUGUAUCAUAAUGCAUAUGUAUCAAGGCUAAAAAUAUGUAUCACAAAUAUCAAAAUCCGGGACAUCAUAUAAUUAAACAAAAUUAUGGAAAAAAGUGUUAGAAUCCAUUAAAAAUUCAAAAUUUAUGUAAGUCACCCUCGAUUUUAUACCAAAAUAGUAGAACAAAAACAUUCAAUAUGACGCAAGUAAUACAAAGAUUUUGAUCCCAGCGUGUGUCUCAGAUAAUACGAUAAUCAAACAAUUGAGCAACAUAAUCCUAAAUUUUGUAUCGGGCUCAAAAUUCGUAUCCAACUAAUCAAAACCGUCUCAAGAGGUCAUUUGGUACAAAAUGAACAUUAAUUCCUGAGGAAAAUGGAGGACUGAUUUAUCCUAAAUUUGAUUAGAGAUAAUAAUUAGUCCAGCAAUUUUUUCAUCAUAUCAUUUGUAUUACAAUGAUGACAUAAGUUAUUCCACAUAUAUGAUGGAAUAAUUAGUCUAUUCCACUAUGUCUACAGUAACAUAUCAAUUUGUGUAAGCUUUGAUUUAUCUACCAUUAACCUGUCAAAUUCAUGAGCACAAAUUUGUCAAGGUAAUCAUACUCCACCAAACUUGAUUUAUUAUUACUUAGAUUAUAUUAAAUGGCAUGUACAAUAGGAACUAAAAACGCAAUUUUUUUCAAAUAACAGUGAUGUCCGAUCCAAUUUACACGCACAACAUAAAGUCAUUAGAUUGCACCAACAGUCAAAAAGAUAAAUGUACAAACAUAUAUGGAGAGUGGAACACUGUCAUAGCAAAUUUAAAUAAACUUAUACACCCUUUUCCGAUACAAAACAAAGGGAAAAAAAAAGGUGCACACUAUAGCAAAGAUCUUUAUAUGAUGAGCCUUUUCAACUUUACCCUACAAUUUCAACAAUCCCACAAUGAGUCAAAAAGAAUGAGUUAGAAACAUUUUAUAAGACAAGCUUUUCACAGAUUAGGACCUGAAAAUGUGUACCAUUACAUGAAGAAAAAAAGAGAAAAAUAAGAAAGAUAAUCAGACGUUAAUAUCUGAGCGCUUGUAUCUGGCAGUGUUGAUGUCUUGUGUGCUGGCAAAUCUGGGGAUGCUAUAGUUUUCAGGUGUAGACAUGGGUUGCUGUGGGUAAAGAGUGGGAGGCGGUGUGAGAUUGCGUUGAGCUGGUAAAGGAGGGAGUGUGUUGUACUUGUAAGAUUCACCGAUAUAACUGCAACAAGCGGAAGACAGAUUAUGAAUAUGAUUUAAAGAACAUGUAAACGUAGAUGGAGUUGGUGUAAAAAAGACAAGUAAGAAGACACGGCUGUCACUGAAUAUGACACUACUCUAAAACAUAAAAUUCUCUCCAUCCCAACAACCACAAACCCAGUGAAGACCCAUAAAAGAUAAGAGUGUACACCUUACCCCUACCUCGAGGAGGUAGAGAGGCUACUUCUAGGAGUAUCUCCAUCCCAGUCAAUCAUAAAUUUGUCUUGACACCCGACACUUCUGAACAAGUAUAGCACACAUUCAUCCACUAGUAUGCACAAAGCUAAAGGUGUAGUGACUAAGUUAAUAUUUUUGGACAGUUAUAAAAAUAUUUUUACGUGAUAAUUUUUUCCUGCUCUCCUCCCCUUGUCUUAGAGAAACGAGUUAUCUAUCUAGCUCAUUCAAGGUGACCAUGACAUUCUAUCCACAACACUUGGGAAGUUCACCAUAAAUGGCCACAUGCCAAGCAUCACUUCUUUUGGGUGAUGGAACACCAGGGUUUACAACACUAUUAGGAAGGUAGAUAUUCAACUAUGCUCACGUUCAACAUAAGGAGAAAAAAAGACCUCAUCACCCAGUUACCAUUAAAACAUCAAAUAGACUCUCAUAAUGCAAAUAACAAAUAAUUGAAGGGACUUGUGAGAGAUUGCUUUAUCCCACAAUCCCUACUUGAAAUUUUCACCCACAAUGGAAGGCUUUAACAGCACCAAAUUUUCACCGAAUUCCACAGGCAUACCUUGAACUUUUACUUUUGUACAAGUGAUCAUCAUCAUUUGAAAUUUCGCUCGAUCCCUGCAGUGGUUUUUGAACUGGGGAAGACCAAUGAUUACCAGGUAGAUCAUCUGAGAAGUAUCUCCUCCUGAUUAACUGAAAAUCGCAAACCCCACACUUCAAUAAUGUAGGAUAGAUUAAGUAAAUCUCACUUUAGAUGCAAAGGAAUAAUAUACAGACCAUGCGGAAAAACUUCAUGACAGCUUCUUUGUCAUAUCUUGCUCCCUUAGCGGCCUGCAGGAUUUCAAGGGCUGAAAAAUAUUACAUAUGUAAAUCCAUUGAAUCUUACUUAAAAAGAAAAUUGAACUUCUUACUAACCAUAUAUCAAAGACAUGUAUAAACUUACAACAACUAAGAGCAAUGAGAUACACUCAACAUUUGCCAUGAUUAUUGUUUCAAGACUUACUACAGCCAGAUGCAUGUUUAAAAUUUCGAGGAGAGUUGCUGGGGCAGGGUUUGUGGGAAGCAAGAGUAAAAGAAAGCAACUGGGGUGUAGAGAGAGCAUAUAAUUUGAUAAUAAGCUGGAGAGCAUGUCCAUAACUCAAAGCACCUGCUUCUCUUCAUGUUUACCAAAAUUCAUACAGAGAAACUCUUACAGAGAAACCGACAUUCACUGGCAAGUAUCCUCACAAUUAGGAGGCUCCUCAGAGAAAAAUCAACUGGUGGGAAACAAAAGCUGCCUAUUCCAUAAGCUCUCUACGAGAGUAAAAAAGUAAAAAAGUUUCUCUUUAAAAGCUUCAGAUUAACCAAUGUCACACAGUAGCUACUGUUCUUUUCUCCUUUACUUUUUGGGAUUUGGUUGCAAUGUAAUGAAAAGGCAGCCUAUGAUGAGUAAGGUCAAAACAAAUGUUUUAAUUUGCCAAAAUCAAAACACAUGUUGACGAACAGCUUAGACCUACAAGAACAUCCUCCUACUAAUGGACUGAGAUAUGUAACGAGUAAAAAUUCAGCCAUGAAGAAGAACAAAAGGAUGGAUCAAAAAACAUGGUUUUGACAAUUAACAAAGCAAUUAUUCAAAUACAAUUAGUUCCAAACGAAUAACAAAAGUAUGAUCAGAGAAUUUCAAGCAUGAAAAAUCUAUCCAGAAAAAGUAGAGAAAAUGAAAAAUGGAUGAAGGAAAACACAUCCUGUCCACUAGGUUCAGUUGGCAGAUUAUUUAAGUCAACAAUCUCUUUCUUCAUGUAUGAGACUGUCAACUUCAUAUUCUAGUAGCAGGCAACCAUUUUUUUACCUCUUCAAACACAAGAAAAUGCGCAGUGGUAGAGCUUAGAAGAAGGUCUGAGAAUGAGGUAACUGAUUUCCUUCAGAUUUAAAUAAGAAACCUUUCUGCAUGCACCUCCCUAAACUGCUACUCUUAAUAAGCAUUUUUAACCCAACAAGAAGAUGAAAACUUAUAUUGCUACGCCAAUAAAGACUUGGCUUGACGAGAGGGAACACUGUGUCAGACCACAACAAAAGCUGACCUUAACGUACUAGCAUAGACAAAUAAGUAACGACCCUUCUUCAGUAACAGCUUAAGUACCAGAAAUUUAUCUUGCCGGAAGACAACUGAUUUUUAUAACAAAACAAAAUCACUCUAGAAGUUUUCAAUUGUGAAUCCAUACAAGUUGUGUCGUAUAAAAUUACCGCAAUAAGACCUCCACCACCAGGAAAACUCUCGGUCAAGGGGAUCUCUUCGCUAGAAGGAAGUAGACCUUGCUUCUCAACCCACUGUCGAGCCAUAUCAACAAGAUUGCCACUGCUUCCUCUAAUACCCUCUUUUGCAGCGAUAUCUGCUUUAUUGCCAAUGACAAUGUAAGGAACAGGGAGACCGCCAGGACCACCUGAAGCUAGAGGAGCCGAGAAUGUCCCUGCUGUUGCUAUCUCUACAGCCCACUUCUGCAAGCUUGUCUUUGUCCUUCUUUGAGAUAGAUCAUAUACAAAGAUAACACCUAAAGUGGAAAUUGAAAAUCAUCCAUAUUAGUUUUCAUCCGACUAUCACCAGGAUGAAUAGUUAUAAAAAGUGCUUCCCACUGCCUUAGAGAGAAAGAGAGAGUGUAAAAGUAACACCUCAAGUGGAACUACAAAUAAUUUCACCCAACUAUCAUCAGAAUUUAAGAACGUAUACUUCACAGAAAGAGAGUCAUCCAUUAAACUCUCCCUAAUGAAGGAAAAUUCAGGAACAAAAAUUUGAUGACAACAAACAUGUAAGAUCUCUGAGUUCUGUUUAAAAGAACAAACAUAAUCAGUUAUCUAGAAAGUUUUCAUGCUUUAACCAUCUUCUGAUAUUAAUUAUCAGGUAUCAGCUGAAGGUCAUCCAGAACAUAUAUUGUAACUUGUACGAGUGUGCAUAGGAAAUUCUUUUUGGUAUAUAAAGCAGUUUACGAGAUGAAUCUAGUUGCUCACCAUUAAUUUGCGAGUAGAACAGAGAUCGACAUUCUUUGUAACGAUCAUGUCCUGAUAUAUCCCAGAGUUCAAUAAAAAAAUCUCUCUCGGCAUCGCCUUUUAUGCUAGUUGAGGAGCUACCAGAAUUUCCAUAAGUAGUGUGCUUUACAGGAGAAACAAGAAAAGAUUAGUUUUGAUAUGGGCAUGCAUUCACAGCACACUUUUCAUAGUAUAGGGAGAACAAAAUUAACUGUGAAUCAUACUUUUACUCCGACUGUACAGCCAAUUGUUUGAGGAGGGUGAGGCGUGGAAGAACCAUUGAGAAUCAGAUGAACAAGAGAAGUCUUUCCCACACCUACCAGAAAAUAUGAAGCAGAAAAAUGGUGAAACGGAAACUGAAAACAACGAAUCACUGUGUAUAAAUAAAGAGGGAGAAGCUAAUAUCCUGAACUUCUUACAAAGUCUAAAUAUCGCAGGAAAAACAUCAAACACCAGACAGGAAAGACUUGAACACUUAAUAAGAAGACUACAUCAGAUGGACUUAAAUUAUAUAAAUUGAUGACUAAAACCUAGUGUACCCAGCUAAACACUCCACCAGUGCUUCAUCUGAUGUAUCCAGGACAUUUCAUAGGCUAAAGCCAAGCACCAUAGCAAAAAUAGUGGCUCCAUUUAAUGUUUCUUACUUUUCUUAUGUUUGUUUUGCUUUAAGGGAGUACAAAAGCAAAUAACAACAAAUGGAGAAAGCAGGAGAAUGACUUUUCUUUGUAUAUUGCUUAAUAUGAUAAAAGGCAGGAGAUAGACUUUUCUUUGUAUAUUGCUUAAUAUGAUAAAAGGCUAUUUAUAAGCCUCCGGAAACAAAUUUACUUGGGCAAAAAUGUUUGCUUACCAUGCGUGGGUCCAUCUACUUGGACACCAAGAUUAGCUACGAGCCACAUGGGCAUCCAACACUAUUUUUACAACACUCCCCCUUGGAUGUCCAUGAAAAACUAUGUUGCUCGGACUCUUCGAAAAUGUCAGCAGGUGUGUGUCGGAUUCUCCAAAAGUAGUAUAUUUUGGAGAAUCCAACACGGGUGCAGCAUCGAAUGUGAAGAGUCCGUGCAACUUAGAUGGAAAAUUAAAUGUUUAUAUAGGUAAAAAUCCAUUGAACAAAUUGUGUUGAUUGCGUGUUAUAAAAGUAAAAUCAUGGCAAUAACGCGUUACAAAAUAAUAAUAAACUAUCAAGACAACAAGAGAUAUAACCAAAGAAGUUGGAGGAAGAUAGAGAUUUAAUUUCUCUUCAAAGUUGAUGUACAAAUGAACUAAAUUGACUUUCUAUUUAUAGAAGAACAGAAGCAACUAUGUAAGCUACUUGCAAGCUGUUUGUUUGAUUGCAAACUUAUCCGACUAAAAGCUUAUCCGAUUGCAAGCUUAUCCAAUAAACUGUGUAAUAGACAUCCAAAUAAGAUGUUUUUUUACUUCAGGUAAGUAUAGGAUUCAGAAGCUAUGACACUAGUAGAUUGUCCUGUUGGGACAUUAAUUCAGAUAGAGACAUUCUCUGCAGAAAUAUGUGACUUGGCUAUCCUCUUCAAAUCAGUAAAUGUAUCUGGCAUUUGAUUGCUAUUUUCUGCACAUGGAUGAUCCUCUAGACCUCUUGUUUGCAAGCUUAUCCGAUAAAUUGUGUAAUGGGCAUCCACAAUACAGUGCAUUUAUAAUACUCCCUCUUGGAUGUUUAUUAAUAGAUAAUAUGUCUCAUUAAACCUAAAUAGGGAAACCCCAGUGGGAAAAAAUUCUAGUGAAGUUAAAACAGUGCAUGUAUCUAGUAUUACACAUUGCUAAUUGCCUCAUUAAAAACCUUAUCCAAGAAAGCUCAAUGGGUAAAACAUUAGCUAAUGGAAAAAGAGUACAACGACGUUGACGAGAUAUCAUUUUUAAUCGGUUAGCAAUGCAACUUCUUACUGAGAUCUUAUCACUUCAUUAUUUUCCGGUACCGGAACCUCUUAUGAAACCAUGAGGUGGUUUCAUGAACUAUUAUGUCGUAGGCUUUUCAAGAGCAUAUUGCAUCCUUAUUAUGAUCACUAACUCUUCUCAUUUUCAAGAAUUAUUGCAAUUGAAAUCAAUUGGUCUGCCAUGAAAGAGCAUUUCUAGUUGAAAUAUAAAAUUAAUUUUAGAUCACAAAUGCUUCUAGCAUUAUAACUAACUUAUCUUUUGAAUAAAGAUCAUACUGAUGAUAAUUCAGUACAUAUUUAUACGUGGAACCUUUCGUCAUAAUCUCAUUUUGAUCCAUAUCCCCCCGUAUGCGACCAGGAGGUCUAGAGGGUCAUCCAUUUGCAAAAUUGCAAAUCAAAUGACAAACGCAUUUACUAAUUUGAAGAGCAUACCUAAGUUAUAUAUCCUUGCAUAGAAUGUGUCUAUCUGAAUAAAUGUCUUAAUAGGACAAUCUAAUAGUGUCAUAACUUCCGAAUCCCAUACACCCCUAAAGCAUGGUAGAUCAUUGGGUUCCAAGGAUAAAAAUCAUGUUUUUUACCCAUUUUUAUUAAGGUAACAAUGUAUUCAUCAAUACGAAAAGAUUGUAUGGACAACAAUAGAACAACAAAAAGAAGAAAGCCCUCCAAAAAUUCUAAGAUGGCAUCAAAAUCAUCGAUGCAAAAUUCUCUACACCAAAAAUCACAUUCAAAUACAAUUCAUCUUUACUUUAUUUAUUGGAUUACCCUUGUUCUCAAAACAUCUGUUAUUUCUUUCCCUCCCGAUGGUCCACAAAUGCACUUUUUAUCCUUAAUACACCAUAUUACGGAUUUUCAUUUAUAUACAUAGUUUAUUGGAUAAGCUUGAAAUCGGAUAAGCUUGCAAUGGGAUAAGCUUGCAAUCAGAUAAGCAAAAAGUAGUUAGGCAUAAAGUAUGACAUGGCCCGACAGUUUCUUGGAUAGCCUGCAAGUAGCUCAAGCAGACACCUUGCAAUCAGAUAGUAUUACUUUUGCACUUUUGUUCAUGCAUUUUUUAUUACAAAGAAGGCUAUUUAUAAGCCUUGAAAAAUACUUGAGAAAAAAAUAUGCUAUGGCCCCAUUUUGAUUACCUUCCUCGCGUACGUAUAAGAUUGAAUCCAUUCAAUUUCUAAAAAGGAUUACUAAUCCUCAACUUACUGGGCACAAAGUGAUGGACAUCCAUUUUACAACACUCUCCUCCCUUGGAUGGACAUCUAUGUAAAACAAAAAUUCUAGUGAUGUCCAUAGGAUGCAUAUGGUUGAGAUCAGUGAUACAUUUCAUCAAAGAAAGAUGUUGUCUGACAUAUGAUACCAAAUGGUACAAGUUAGUGGGGCAACUUUGUGCCCAAGUAAGUGGGGCCCACAACAUACUUUGUGCCAAGUAUUUUUCAAGGCUUAUAAAUAGCCUUUCUUUGUAAUACGAAAUGCAUGAACUGAAGAGGAAAGAAAAGUGAUCUUGAUACUUCCUCUCUAUGCAUUUGUAUUUUAGCAUAGUACAUCACUUUUAUUUUAUAACACGUUAUCAGCAAAAUAUGUUAUAAAGUAAUUGUGAUGCAAGUUUAGUGAAAUGUGUUACACAACAACUUUUGUUAUUCUAUAAAUAGGAAGUUUAUUCAAUUCAUUUGCACAUCAAGUUUGAAGAGAAAUACAAUCUCUCUCUCCCUCCAAUUUCUUUGGUUAUAUCUCUUGUUGCCUUGAUAGUGUAUUGUUAUUUAUAACACAUUAUUAACACAAUCUUUGUUUGAUCUCUGUUUGAUGACUAAAACCUAUUGUAUCCAAUAAAACAUUCCCCCAGUGCUUCAUCUGAUGUACCCAGGACUUUUCAAAAAGGCUAAAGCCAAGCACGACUGUGAAAGCAAAACAAACACUUGAAAAGUAAGAAGCAUUAAACGGAGCCACUAUUUUCACUACCUUCCCAACUAUAUAAAUUUCCAUCCCCACAAAUAAAUUUAAAUGGUGAUCCUCAAAGUUGUUUGGUUUUAUUGUUGUUGCUUUUUGUUUUCCAAUAAAAUGGUGACCCUCAAAGAUUAUCAAAAGGAUCCAAAGAAGCUGUAAGCUGUAAUUCUUCUUUCGCACAAAUAAAGACAAAUAUGGGAGCUAUGGAGUCAUUUUUUGAAGUGGAAUUUCAAUUACUAGCACCUUAUCUUGCUUCCACGUACAGUAUGAUAUCCGUGCAUCAUUUGCUACAUAUAUAAUGGCCAAACUCCAAAAAGUGCUUCAAAUUAUCUUAUUAAUGGAAACCCCCAAAAGGGCUUCAAUUAGUCCAACUAUUUUAAAAUAGUCAAUAAGAAGCUGAAACUGAAACUUCAAUUAAACAUUGCUUGCCAUAUACUUGUCUGCAUUUUGAUUCAUAAAUAAGAAAAUAACUACUUUAAUUUUGUUCAAGAUUUGUAGGAUGUCACCGACUGAUAAUCCGUUUCGGCAAAGUGUUACCUGAAAGAGAGAGAGAGGGGGAUAAUCUCUUGAUGCAGUAUUCCAUUCCACGUCAAGGACCAUGAUAUUAGUCCAGCUUAUUUAAGUGGAAAAAUCAAAGCUUGGAAUGGGAAAAGUAACUAUAAAUAUAUAGUGGAUCGUUGCAAUAUCCGUAUCAAAUGGUAUGUGGACUUUGAAUAUACAGAAAAAGCAUUCCUUGAGCUGACCACAUUACUCGGGUAUAGGCUUAUGUAAUAGAGUGGAGCUGCUUUGGAUAUUUUGACCUUAUGGAUUGGAGCAUUCAUAUUUUUAUAGACUCUUGAAUGAUGAGGGGAACAGACACAUUGUGUUAGGGGAGCUGGAGCACUCAGAGGAGUGUCGUGAUUUCAGUUAUUGUAGACAUUUUAAGGUAGAGGAGGUAAGAGAUGCUAUUCAAAGGAUAUGAAAGGGGUAGGGCGAUGGGGCCCAAUGAGAGUCCAGUGGAUUUUUGGAAGUUUACUGGCGGGGCUCAUUUGAGGUGGUUGACUGAAUUGUUUAAUGUUAUUUUCAAGACUGCAAAAAUGCCCGAGGCGUGGAGAUGGAGUACUACGAUUCCUUUAUAUAAGAAUAAGGGUGACAUCCAGAGUUGCAACAACUAUAGAGGUAUUAAGUUGUUGAGCCACACUAUAAAGAUUUGAGAGAGAGUAGUCGAGUGGAGGUUGAGGAGGAUAGUGUUUAUUUCGGAGAAUCAGUUUGGAUUUAUGCCCCGUCGCUCGACGACGGAGGCAAUUCACCUGGUGUGGAAACUGGUGGAGAAGUAUAGGGAAAGGAAGGACUUACAUAUGGUGUUCAUUGACUUGGAGAAGACGUACGGCCAAGUUCCUACGGAGGGUCUUUGGAGAUGCUUGGAGGUAAGUGGGGUCCUCGUGGAGUACAUAAAAUCGAUUAAGAACAUGUAUGAUGGAGCAAAGACUCAGGUCAGGAUGGCGGGAGAUUCAAAGCAUUUCCCUGUCUUGACAGGGUUGCAUCAAGAAUCGACUCUUAGCCCGUUUUUGUUUGUGUUGGUGAUGGAUGUGUUGACAUGGCGUAUUCAAGGAGAGGUGCCUUGGUAUUUGGCGAUGGAUGUGUUGAUGCGACGUAUUCAAGAAGAGGUGCCUUGGUAUAUGGUUUUUGCAGAUGAUGUUGUUUUGAUUGACGAGACGCGAUGGGGUGUGAGAAUGAUAAAUUGGAGGUUUGGGGACAAACUCUUAAGUCUAAAGGAUUCAGGUUGAGUAGGAGCAAGACUGAGUAUAUGAAAUGCAAGUUUAAUGGCUUAAGGCAAGAGAAUGAGGUGGUACUAAGGUUGGAUUCCCAGAUUGUUUGUAAGAGGGAUAGUUUUAAGUAUCUCGGGUCCAUGAUUCAGGGGAAUGGAGAGAUUGACGAAGAUCUCCCACCGUAUUUGGGCAGCAGGGGCGGACCCACAUGUAUAGGUGGGGGUACACGUGCACCCGUUAACAUCGAAAAAAUUGUGUAUAUAUGUGUGUAUAUAUCUUUAGAAAUUCGGAUAUAUGUAAUAGUGCACCCAAAGAAAAUUGAAAGUGAACCUCGGUUGCACUAGUUGGAAUCAGCAAUUCCAUCCACGCGACCCAGGAUCAAUCCCCAGAUAGCGCAACAUUUUCCUUUUUAUUUUCAGUACUUCAAGUUUAAAGGCUAAAAUAUCAAAAUUGUUGGACUAAAGAAUUGAACCCGCGACCUUGUUGUAUGAUGAACACGCCUUUACAAUUAAGCUACCACAACCAAUUGCUAAAAAAUGUUAAAAGUCAACAUAUUUGUUGAACUUCAUAUUUUAAGAAAGUAAAUUAAAGUUAUUAGCUUAGAACUCAUAUCUGUUCUAUAUAUUUAAUUUUUCAGUAUUAUUCGUGUCAUUGACGACCAAUCGAAUAUGAUAAUAUUCUUUAAUCGACACUGAAGAUUUUGCUAACGUCUAUGUUAAGAUAAUAUUAGUGCACCACAGUAUUAUCAAAAACAAAAAGUGCAAAAAAGUUUCAAGGUCCAUUGUGUUUAAGCACAAAGUACAAAUAAAGCAUGAGAUUAAACAAAAAAAGGCAUAAAAGGAGAAAAAAUAUAAAUAUAUAUAUAGUCCAAGACUAAUAAUAUAAGCAUGAAUGACAAAUAUAUGAACAAAUAAAUUAAUUUUUUUUAUGAAGUGAAAUAUCAAUUGUUUAGUGUUCGUCUCUUCAGAAAGCCUCAUUGACACGGGAAAGUAUAUCUUAGAAAUUAGAACCUAAACUACACAUUAAGCGACGCGAGCUCUCAACACAUUUUGAGUCUUGCUUCAAGGCUUAUGCGCGCCUUUGACAAUACCGGUGCAGCCACAGACUUCAAAUCUUGGGUUCGCCUCUGUCGGGCAGGAUGGAUGAAGUGGAGGCUCACCUCGAGAGUGUUGUGUGAUAAGAAGAUGCCGCCCAAGCUUAAGGGCUAAUUCUACAGAGUGGCAGUCCGUCUGGCCAUGUUGUAUGGAGAGGAGUGUGAGCCGGUCAAGAACUACCAUAUUAAAAAAUUGAAGGUGGCGGAAAUGCAGAUAUUGCGUUGGAUGUGUGGGCUUAUUAAGGGUGAUAGGGUUAGGAAUGAGACUAUCCGGGAGAAGGUGGGAGUUGCUUCGGUGGAGGACAAGAUGCGGGAAGUUAGAUUAAGAUGGUUUGGGAAUGUGAUGAGGAGGGGCACGGAUGCCCCAGUUCGUAGGUGUGAGAGGCUAGCUUUGGAUGGUUUCAGGCGGGGUAGGGAUAGGUCGAAGAAUUACUGGAGAGAGGUGAUUAGACGGGACAUGAAACAGUUACAGCUUAUUGAGGACAUGGCCCUAGAUAGAAAGGUUUGGAGGACACAAAUUAGGUUAGAAGGCUAGUGCGUUUGGGUGGGUCGUAGCCAGUAGUUAGGAGAGCUUUGGGGUAGUCGGGCAAGUAGUCGUAGGGCUAUGUCCAUAGGUUGGAGUUGCUAGUAGGAGGGCAUGGGUGGGGGGUGCCUUUGGUUCGUUAGUGUAGGGUAUUACUUUGUCUACAUCUUGUUUCAUGCUUUAUUAUGAAUUUGUUUACUAUUCUGUCUUGAGCCGGGGAUCUAUUGGAAACAACCUUUCUAUUUCUCCAAAGGUAGUGGUAUGGACUGCAUACAUUUUACUCUCCCCAGACCCCACUAUAUGGGAAUACACUGGGUUUUUUGUUGUUAUUGUUGUCAUUCAAAGCUUUAUUUGGACUUCGCUGAAAGAAUAAGAACUCGCAAUGUGAAGAAUUUUACAUUUAAAUUCAGUAAAGCAGAGCAAGAGAGGCAAAAUGGAGCUGUAUAUGGUUAAGGGAAUUUUAGGACUGAAGCGCCUGCCGAUAAAGUCAAAAUAAUUGGAAUCGGAGUAGUUGGAAAAAGCUGAAGAUAAUGCUAAAAGAUUUGAAUACAACACAUGCAUGAAAUUCCUCAGUGGCCAUGCUUAUGUAGGAAAGCAGUGGAAGAAAAUGAUAAGCAGAAAAAUAAAUUGCAUAAAGAAGCAUCCCGUGGCGAUUCUGAUGACAAUUAUACACUAUCCAGCAGCUAAAGAUCUUCAUUAGGAGGAUCUGAAGCAUUUUCAGUCUCAUUGGGUGAAAGGUGCCUGUGAUUGUCAGUACUCUUGAGACUACCUCACUGUUAAGCUGGGAAGCCAUGGUGAACAUGUUGCCAGAUAAAGAGCAUAAACCAUCCUCUUCGUUCGAAUGACAUAGCCAUCAACUGGUUAGAUUGGUGUGAAAUAGAAGUUAACAUCCAACAAUUUUUCAGGGGACAAAUGGGAGGUCAAUUUGAUAAUGCUGGAUAGCCUCAGAUCUGCAGUUGAAAGAUUGGCCUCCAUCUGAUUACCCCGUCGCUGCCCGGAGUUUCAUAGCAGCUUGCCUUUUAAGGAGUACACAUAUCCACAGAGUGACUAACCUAAAUCUUGCUGUCAAACUGCUAAAAGGGUCGUCAAAGCCUGAGAUGCGACCAUAGACAAUUAUUGCUUAUGAGUUCCUUGCAUUUAGAACCUGUGACUAAGCUGCAUCAUGAUAUGUCUAAUAGGGUGAAUGAGUCGACACAACUAUAUUAUAUUAAAAGUGUGAAGGCCUUAGAAAUGUUGUUUCAACUUUUUGCCCUUCAUUAAAAGUCUCCAUAAUAGACAAAAUCGUCUUUUCACUUUUUUCCUUAUUUUUAUGAUACUAAAUAUUGACUGUAAUAAAUAUAUCCUUAUUUGAAAAGGGUUUUUGGUUGUCUUAUUAUGGUUAAUUCCUAAUUUUAUGGUGUCGUCUUUUUGUUUAUCUUCUUCCCGCCCUAGAAGUAGCACGAUAAGAGGGAUUGAUAUUAUUGACUCAAUGAUAAAGCACUAACACCUUCCUCAUUGGGAUUUCGUGAAAAGACGAUUUUAUCUAAAGAUUAGUCUCUAAAUAAGGGGCAAAAAGUUCAAACAACACUUCUAAGGCACUUCGCACUUUCAGUAUAUCAGAGAUAGAGAUUGGAGAUUGGAGAUUAGAGAUUAGAGAUUAGAGAUUAUUAGCAAUUCAAGUUUUAUAGUAUUAAAUAACUUGGGAUAAACGUGCAACGUAUGAUCCCAUAGAAUAGUACUCAAGCAAUAAUCCGACAGCUGACCAGCUUUCAGAAAUGGGAACAUUGUAAAAUAAAUAAAAAACAUGUUGCCCAAAAUAAAAGGGAACUUCAGAUGGCUGAGGACAAGAAAGAAUGUGAAAAAGAAUUGUUGCAUGUAUCUGAGCCAGAGGGAAAGACUAGUGCUGGAGGUGGUAACAAAAGGUGCAGUCAAUAGUACAAGCAAUUACGAAGCAAGAUAAGGAAUUAAGUGAUGAGUGCAAAGAUAACUCUGUGCCUGAACAAGGGAAGAAUUUGAGAAUAUAGAAGGUGGAUCACUCUGGAACAUCUUUAGAAGGAAAGAUGUACCGAAGUUACAGGAACAUCUCAGGGAGAACUUUAGAAACUUCAAGCAUAUCCACUGCUGCGUGAUGCACAGGUUAUUCACCCUAUGUACAAAUGGGCUGAAAGGACAGAGAAUGCUGAAUAUGUUGGAACUUCAGGGAAUUCAGGCAUGUCCACGGUUGCCUGGUGCACAGGUUAUUCACCCUAGGUAUAAAUAGAGCUGUAUAUAGCGCUGAAAGGCCAGAUAACGCUGAAUAGGUGCAUAUUUUACUUCCCGAGCUUCUGCUAAGUUAACAAAGUCACUACCACAGAAGCUUAAUGCAUUAGAAUUUAGAUGUACUAACUACUGAUUUAAGCAUCAUAAAACAUUUUAGUCAACAAGUAACAAAGCCUUCAGGUUAAAGUUCUUAGUCACAUUUUGAAUCUACAACCUAAUGGAUGUUCAGGAAGAAAUUCAGCAGACAGUAUCAGUUACUGUACUAUACAAAAGGCAUUCAGAAGAUCAUAUCCAAAACAUUCGGUUCAUUUCAACCAAAGAAAAAAAAAUGAGGAUAUCCAUUUGGAUUGAGCCACAAAACCCACAAGAUGAUUUGUCAAGAGAAAAUGAGGAUAAUGUUUAGGUUGUACAUACUUCUAAGAAUGAGUACGUGUACCAAUAUCUGUUGUCAUCAUAAUAUCGAAAGAAAUUCAUUUUAUUUUUUUCUUGAUAAAUAUCUCAUUGUAGAAAAAGUUAUAUUUGUCUACUCUUAAUAAUCAGCUUUUCCCAUACAUUUACACCAUUACCAAAUAACCCCUAAGAUGGUGUUCAAUAGCCUCUAACGUAUAAACAAUCAUCUCAUCACAGCUAUGAACCAGACUUUAACACAAUUGUAAGACGCGGUCACACUCUAAAUGAGUUAGAUCAAUCAUUACUAUGUUUUUCAAACUGAUGUAACAGUAUGUAGUGUGCCCAUUAUCCUCCAAAUUUAGUAGGUUAAAAGUAAUUCUUGCACUACAUUUUAAUGUCCAUUGCCAAUUCUUUGAUAACAAUAGAAAACAACAACUCUUAGAUUAUAAAUACACUCUUUCUUCAUCUUGUAUUGACCUAAAUUUUCCAAAUUGCGAGAAGUCCAAACUCCAAACGAACCUAUGUCUUUGUUAUUUUUUUUUGGAUAAAGGUGGUGUCUAGGCUAGUUGUGCACACCUCAAUUAUUCCACCUGGUACUCUCUACAUACCAUCACUUUCACAUGCAUCAAGUAACCCUACACACUAAGACCUAAGCAGAUGAGAACAAAUAACCAAAUGUUCCAUCUCUAUUGGAAUUUGGGACCCUGAUUUUCCAUAGCUUUCACCACUUCAUCGAUUACUAAGAUACAUACUUGGUGCAGCCCAUAAGUAACUACGUCCAAAAAUCAGAAAACUCAUAAUACUCGCAUCUACUUGUUAUCUCCCGUCUUCAAUCAUUUCUGAAUCUAUGCAAUUAUAUUUACCAUCACUACCAAAGGGCAGCCCGGUGCACUAACGCUCCAGCUAUGCGCGAGGUCCAGAGAAGGGCCAAUAUAUUAUACGCAAUCUUACCUUGCAUUUGUGCAAGGGUCUAUUUUACCAUCACUACCAGUUUCUCAGAACACUAAGUUUUACCACCAAACUCUGACCUAUUGACUAGAAACCAAGUUCAAGACGAUACAUAACUAGUAAUCUGCUUAAGAAAACAAAGAAAAACAUCCUUACAAGUAACAAAACACACACAAGAAAAAAAAAUGGAAAGUAGAUCAAUAUAACUAAUAGAAUAAAAAGGAGAAAACAAAAAGCAUUUGCAUUGUAGCUCAAUACCUGAAUCUCCAACAACAAGCACUCUAACUUGUCCACAAGGUGGUCCACCAUUCUGGUCUUUACUCUCCCUUUCCCUUUCCCUCCAAAACAUCAUCUCCUUAAAAACCCCAAAUCAAAACCAACACAAACAAUCCAAUUUUUCCCCGAAAAAUAAGAAGUUUCAAACUUUAAAAAUUAAGCCAAAUCAGCUAAUCAACUCAAGAACCAUAAAUCAAGAAAAACGAAGAGAUUUUUUGGGGAUUUCGGGACAGGGUGGGUCAAUUCGACGAGCGGGAGCCGAUUCCGGCAAAAAUUUCGCCGGACAAAACUCGAAAACCAGCCGGAUUCUCACCGGUUUCACUGUCCUUCUCGCCGAUUUCCUCUUUCAAUCCCGAUCUCUCUUUUCCUCUUUGUUUCUCUCACUCUCCCUCGUCCCUUAGUUCCUUUCUCGCUCAAUCUCUCUCAAACUCCCUCCAUUUCUCGAUUACUCCAUUUUUCGUGUGUAUCCCGUGUGUGUAGUGUUGUGGUGUGUGAUUCGAAAUCUGUGAGUGAGAGUCGAUGUGAAUUGUUCGUCUUCCCCCCCUUCUCUAUGAAGCUGUUUAUAUUAAAUUAAAAAGGCGAGGGGCCCCCAAAAAACGUGAAAAUGGGGUAGAGCAGGGGUGUUCAUGGUUUGGGCGGUUAUUGAUUAAAAUCGUAACUAAAUCGAUGAGAAUCAAAUUGAUGGUAUUGUUAUAUUUGGUUUGGUUUGGUUUGCUUUGAUUUUUAGAAAUUUUUAGGAGUAUUCAUGGAUCAGUUAUUGGUCAAAAUCAUAACUAAACCAACUUCGUUGGUUUUAAAAUUUCUAAAACAAAACCAAACCAAAUAAAAAAAUAAUCAUUGGUUUGGUUUUUGUCGGUUUAGUCGGUUUGGUUCGAUUUUUUCGGUUUAUAACUUUACCUAAUGAUAAAAGUUGAAAAAUUAAAAAACAAAUCCAAUCUAAUGUAUGAGAUGUCAAUCGAGUGUUGUAUAUCAACCUUGAAACUAUGAUGUCAACUGAGUAUUAUAUUUCGGCAAAGCCAUGACAACACCAUAUGAACACUUCUAAGAAAAUAUUAAAAAGCAAUAUUUAACAGAAUGAACACAUAAACUUCUUGCUCAACAAGGCUAAAAAAAGAAAUUAAAAUUAGUGAUUGUCUAUAGUCUACUGAAUCUCAGCUGUAAAAUUCAAUAUACAACAAGAUAUUAUUUUCACAAUUAAUAUCAUUUGUCAUUCAAAAUGAGAAAUUCAUUUAGAAUCUCAUAAGGUACUGUCAAUUGGAUAAAGACAUAUGACUGAAUGUGUUAUGACUAAAGUUAAAUCAUGAUUAAAAUAUAAAAUGUAACAAAUAUUUAGAUUAUAUUUAUGAAUAAUAUAUAAAUAAUUCAGUUUUUUUUAAUCGGUUUGGUUUGAAUCGCGGUUUGGUUUGGUUAAAAACCAAACCGUGAACACCCCUAGGUACGAGGGGGAGUGGGCACGUGGGUAUGGGGUUGUGAGGUGGAGUGGUGAUGAGUUGUUUAAUUUUUAUAGGUUAGGUUGUUUUCUUUUUUAUGCACUAAAGGUAAAUUAAGGUUUGUACAAAGUAAGGCCUAAUCAGGCACAAAAACAUACAUGUCGGGAUUAACAUUCCCGUUGCUAGACACUGUUCGGCUAAAGGAUUUUCUAGCAAAAUCCUCCCAAAAAACUACUCCUACGCUAGCUGGUGGAGUUACAAAAACAUGGAGUUUGUCAAAAAGAUCCAGCUCCGAUCCUUUAUUUGCCAUCAAGUCAGCCACUCUAUUUUGCUUCCUGUAACUAUGUUAGACUGGUGGUCCUCCCAAACUUCUCAGCAAUGAUUUGCGUUCAAAGAUUGUUGGGUCAUAUAAUAAGUUACCAUUUUGUAGCAUGCUAAUGAUUUCCUGUGAGUCAAUGCAAAUUUCUAGGGGUUUGAGAUUCUGUUCUAGGGCCAAUUUCAAGCCUUCAUUUUAAGGCCAAAAGUUUCAUGAGAUUGUUUGUGGCAUGGGUGAAGCUUUUUCUAAAGCCGAUGACCCAGUCGCCACUGCUAUUCCUUAUGACACCCCCAAUACCAUCUCUACUAAGGUUGCCAAGGCAAGACCCAUCGAUAUUUAACUUGAAGUGGUUAGAGAUUGGGGGAAAGGGGCAGGAGUGGUGCUGCAGAGCUGAUGGUAUUCCACAGCUUCAGCAUAGGGAAUGCUAAAUCAGGGUUGGGUCUGAGUGUUAUGAAAGUUAUUAGCAUUCCUAGUUUCUCAUAUGUGCUAAAGACAAUCGGGGAUGAGGGUUCCCCCAGGAGUAUUCCUAUCAAACCAAUCACUCUUCAAGUUUCUUCAAGUAUUGGACCAGUUGUUGGUGUCAAACAUAAUGAGCUGGAGAUGGUUGUUAUCGUCAUAUUUUUAGAUGAGCUUCUGCCAAAUCAUCUUGGCAAAGCUGCACCUCAAAAAGAUGUGUUGUUGGUCCUCAGGGCUGAGGUUAUAGCUGUUGCAGAGAAUUGGGAUGUUUAAGCCCUUUUUUGAGAGAGUGACUCUUAUGGGGAGAUUAUUGUGGUGCAUUAACCACAAAAUGGUCUUGAUUUUAUUAGGAACUCUAAGUUACCAAAUCCAAUUAGAAGAGGUGGUGUUAUCAUGGGGAUUUGGCUCAACAAUUUUUAGAUAGUAAUAGGCAUUUUUACAAGAGAAAGUACUAUCUCCCUUCAAUCUCCAGAGGGGGUGUCCCGGCUAAGAUAGCUAGUUAGUGAGAAAGAGUUUUGGAUGUUCAGGGAGAUGUUGUAGGGGAGAGGACUAAGGUUCCACCUCCCAUCCUUCCAAAUGUCCUUAAUCAUAAUGGGAGUAGGGGUUAGUUGGAUUGGACCCUGGAGAAUAGUGGAUAAGAGAGGCAUUCUGGGGAUCCAUCUAUCCUCCCAAAACUUAACUUUAUACCCAUCCUUGAUAGCCAAGAAAAGGGCAUCCUUGCAUAGAUUCCAACAUCUGUGGAUGCUAUUCCAGGUCCUGGAACCCCUACUGGCUGCCCUUCUUCCUUUUCCAUAUUUAGAAAUCAGAGUGUUGGCCCAAAAGGAUGUGGGGUUAGUAUACAUUCUCUAGGCCAAGCUGCAGAAGAGGGAAUCAUUCUUAAUGGCAGCAAGCUGCAUCCCUAGCACCUUAUCUCUUUUUGGUUGAGUGAUGGUGUCCCACUUAACCAAGUGCAUUUUCCUUUUGGCAUCAGUCCCAACUAUUUCACUAGUCGAUAUCCUGAUCAACAAACCAUUUCGAGGCUAGACUCGAAAGACUCUCUCUAAAAUAAUCCAUGAGUAAUUCUUCUUCACCUCCAGCACCCCUUAAUUGGGUACAAUAACACCUCAAAUGGGCCACUGGAUCUCUGUGUCCAUCAUACUUUUCAAACUUUGGCAUCUUAAAGCCAAGAGAAUGGUUAACACCUAGAAACAUGCAUAAAUAUUUAUAGGAAACAUUUUUAUAACCCCCAAUUCUCUGCAAGUUUCUCAUGGCCUGUUCUAAACUCUUUAAUUUCUAUGUUAUGCCUUUCUGUUAUUCUAUUGCAACAGGUUUCUCUGUAUCGAAUAGAAAUGCAGGUGGCGGAUUGUACCCAUACGGAUCAUUCAUUUUUAAAGUAGUAUCCAGGGAUAAUACUGAUCACCCGAAACCUUCAACACCGGCUCACUAGCAGAUCAAGGGAGCAUGAUUGUUUGACAAACAUCAUAAGUAGGAAAUUUAGGUGGUGGAGGAGCCAUGAACACAUAUGCCACAGGUGGUGCUGGAUGGGCAGAGGGCCUCUGUUGAGGGACUUUCAAAGGCACACUAGAAUUGCUAGGAUAAUACUGAUGUGGUGUAAAUCCUGGUGCAUGCAGGGACGUAUUAGUGGAACCAGCAAACUGCACUUGAGAUAGCGGUAAGUAAUUGGAAGUGUUUUUGAGAUCAUCUUGGUAUGGAGGAGGAGGCAUGCCACUGAACCAUGCUCGAUCAUCUCUGUCAGUUGUUGUCUGAGUCUCAAUAUCUUCUCAUUAUGUUCUGAAAUCCCUUCCCCAAUACUUUGGUUCGAGUCAAUGAGCAUAUUUUCUACUUCUUUGUUGUCCAUGAUAAGCUUUUCUUUUAAUCCGGUUAAGUAAGGAUGAUGAACCAGAGUGCUACAAACCAACCACUUCUUAUUUGGAAGAACAUGAUCAUCAAAGACAAAAACCGUUAGGAUUAGGUCACACAACAAGCAUGAAAACCAUAUUGUAUGUUGCCCUAGAUUCAUUAGCAUUUCUACCUGCCUUUGAGGGUAAUAAAGUUAUUUUAACAUUAUUCCGAUCUUUUUUUGCAACUUCUUCUUACACUCUAUUGGCAUUUCGCCUUUUUCUACUUUUUGUCCUCGGUUUUUUUUUCUCUUUUUUGUUCUAUUCCUCUUUUUCUUUUCUUCCUUCACUAUCCUUUUCUUUCUCUUUUCUUCUCUCACUAUUUUCUUUAUUUUUAUCAUUCUUUAUGUCUUUUUCCCUCUUUAAAAGGGUAAAUUUAAGAGAAAAAAGAAUCAAAAUGAUUAGAUCGAACCCAAAAGCAGGUUUCCUACGUAUCAUGUUGUACAAGAAUUAGAUCUUGCGUAGUUCAAAAAGUUAGGCCAAUAAAUGACCAACCAGACUAUCUUUUUUUUUUUUUUUUCUUGAAACUUUAAGAAGAAAAAAAAUAACAAAUUUUCAAAAGAAUUGAUGAAAAUCUUUCUGAUUUUUUACAGCGUUACAAUUCCUAUCCAAAAUAAAACCUAUGAUUAUUAAAGAAAAAACUUUUUGGGUUUUCGAUUUGCAUUUCAUAUGAAAAAUGUAACUUGUAACUAUUAAAGGAAAAUGUUUUUAUAGUUUUCUUUUAAAUAUGUAUAAGAAACACCUACUCUAAAUGAAGAGUUGAAAUUUUUUUUUUUGAAUUUUUUAAAUAAGAUCACCGAACUCAUGAAGGGCUACCUACAUAUCUCACUCUCGAAAGAGCAGAAUCAGGUGUGCAUAGUUCGUCCAGUUUGAAAAAUUAAAGAAUAAAUAACUGAAUGAAGCUUGACUUGAGAGACAUGACCACAAAUACAUAAUGAGAACGUCAAUAAAAUCUUUUUUGAAUUUUUAAUUUGACACUUAACAUGAAAAUGACACCAACAACUAUGGAAGGGAAAUCUUUUUAGUAUUUUCGUUGUAUGAAAUGUAUAAAAUUUCUACCAUUUUUUUUUGAAUUUUUGUUUUAUGAAAAGCUCAUAUUGAAAAGAAUCUUUGUAAAAUAUUUGAGUUAUGAAUGCAUGCUAAAGGAACAAAAGAAAAAUCUUUUUGAAGUUUUGAUUUUUGAGAAAAUACGUGUAAAAGGUAAAAAAAUCUUUUUGAAUUUUUGAUUAUAGAAAACAAAAGCCAUAAAGAACUCCUAAAAACUACGAUACUCUUUUCUUUUUUCUCUUUUUUUUGGAACUUUAGCUUGCCUAAUCACAUGCUUUUCCUUAAUUCUAGCACAUGCUUACCCAAAUCAGUCUGUCAAAUGACCCCAUUACUCUCAGAGGACCAGAUGGAUCUCGCUAGGUCUCAACAUGAUGCAGAUAAAAAUGUCUUAAUGGUUGACCUACACUGAGGUUCAACUAACAAGGCUGUUCGGAGGAGCGUAUGGUUGAUAAUGACUGUGAUUGCUUUCCACCUACUUCAUACCAGCCGAUGGCUCUCCCUCCUAAAAUAAGGGUGACUCAACGAAUAGUCGUGUAUACAACAUAUACUACGGGACUGGUCGCGAAAGAAUGACUCAGAGUAAUGCAUAUGAUGUCAGAUAUAAAGCGGUAACACAUAAGAGAAAACUCUAAACAAAGAGCAUAUAGGCACUCAAUAAUGAUGAAAUAACAACAUAAGCGAUAACACAUACAAGGCGUCUAUACACCUAUAGUGCCAAACUAAGCCGAUACAACUCAAUAUUGAAGCUCGAAUUCUUAAAAUCCCCAGCAGAGUUGUCAGAGCUGUCACACCCCCUUUUUACAAAAAAAAAAAGAUAUUGAUUUUAAGUUCAAAAAGAGUUUUAUCAUUAAGUGACAAAAAAAACAAUUUAUUUCGAAAAGGACUUUUAACAAUCAAAACUCAGAAUCAUCACUUGACAUAAAUCAAGUGUGCCAAGUCACCUUUGGAAGUCCUUUUUCAAAAUAAUUUUUGACUCUUUAAAAUUGAUCCACAGAUAGAGAUUCCAGUUAAGGAAUUCUAUUGACCAAGGGGAAGGUGUAAAGCAUCCCUCGGUCCCGUGGUUCGACCACGGUCGCUCCGUGAAGUAUAUCGGUUAGUAUGACACUAUGAAAUACAUAAACCACACAAAACACAUAACACGUAAACAAUCAUACAGCCAAAAAGCCUAAAAAUAAUGUCAAGUUCAAUUUAUUACAAACCAAAAUUAAAAAAAAUGCUGAAAUGAAAUCCUAAUCUAUUCUAAUUACCCUAAUUAUACUUUACCCGAUGCCUCGGGCCUUGAUCACAAACUUGCUUCGCAUAUAUGAUACGUCGGGGCAUCCCCUAGUGAAUGAAUACAAUUUUUCUUGGGGCAAUCCCCGGCCAAAUGAAUACAAUUGAAUCAAAAGCGAUAAAACAAAAUCAUUCAAUAAACAUUUCAAACAUUCAACAAUCCAUAACCUUAAAUUUUACCUAACCAACCUAUCGUUUGCCUACCUAUUUCGACCUAGCAUGACACUAUUGCGUUCGACAAAAUUAACAUCAUUUCAAUCCAACAACAAGCAAUGAAUCAAACUAACUAAUACUCACCUUUUUAUCAAUUUUAAUUUCCGCACCAAAACAACUAGUUUUAAAUCUCAAAAGGAGAUUCCAUUUUAUCACACAAUUCAUAGCCAAGGAGACCAACAACGAAUCACUACCAACAACUAUUCACCACCAAAAAGGAUCAACCAAUACACAAAUAUUCAAUCCAUAACACCAAAUAUCAUAAACAAUAAAAUAAAAAAAGUAAAAGAGUAGAAAUGAACCUCAAUUUGGAGCUUUCGAAAAGUGUUGCUUAGUUAAAAUAAAGAAUUCACUUUCGAUAACCUAGACUCAAACCUCAACAACGAAUGAACUCCAAUGAGAAAAUCAUGAAAUCCAAUUCAAAUAGAAAUCCACAGAAAUAAAUCGAGCAACCUAAAAUAAAAGUAUGAAAAUAGAAGACCCGUGUAGCGAUUCCCAAUGACACCUCAUCGAAAUCAGCUCAAAUGAUCGAUUUUGGAUUAUUUGGCUACUGGAAUGCAUUUUUUGAUGGGAUUUUGCCUAAGAAUUCAAGAAAAAAUGAAGAUAUUUUGGGGGAUUUUGGGACAGGGUGGGUCAAUUCGAUAAGCUAGAGCCGAUUUCAAUGAAAAUUUCAUUGAAAAACUCGAAAACGCAUUGUAUUCUCACCAAUUGCAUUGUACUUCUCAUCAGUUUCCUAUUUCAAUACCAGUCUCUCUCUUCCUCUCUGUUUCUCUCGCUAUUCUCUCACUUUCAUUCAUCCCUUAGUUCCUUUCUCGCUCAAUCUCUCUCAAACUCCCUCUAUUUUCUCGAUUACUCUAUUUUUUGUGUGUAUCCAGUGUGUGUAGUAUUGUGGUGUAUGAGUCUAAAUCUAUAUGUGUGAGUCGAUGAGUGUAUUGUUCGUCCUCCCCAUUUUCUGUGAAGCUGUCAUAUAUUAAAAAGAGGAAGACCCCCAAAAAAUAUGAAAAAAUUGUAGGAGGUAGGGGGUACAUGGGUAAAGAGGUGUGAGGUGGAGUGGUGAGUUGUCUAAUUUUUAUAGAGUAGGUUGUUAUUUUUUUAGAAUGAUGAUAUGUGAGAGAAAAUUGGAGAUUAAAUUUGUUAGAAGUUAUUUUGUUUUCUUGUGAGGGGAUUUUUUGAAUAGGUGAGGGUGCACAUUUUUUUGGUGAGGUUGUUAUUUUGUCUUAAGUGGAGGGAUCGUCAUACGAGGGUGAGGUACAUUGUACAAUGAGGAUAAAUGGGUAAAAGUUGACUUUUAGGAGGGACAAAGUUAUGUGUCUACAACCAUAAGAUUGAAUAUCAUACACUGGAUUAAUCAAAAACUCAAUACAAUAGAUCUAUAACAAAUCUUGAAAUGAGUGAUUUUAACUUUUCAAGUUUCAAUGAUUUUCUUUGGUUUUACUUAUAGCAGCAUAGUAGUGAUUGGAGUAUAGGUUUUGUUAAUUUUUGUUUUUGCGAAAUCUAUAGAGAUCAAGUAAAGGUUGUUCAUAAAGUUCUACGAAGAGACAAUUUAGACGGUUGAUGUUGUCACCGACUAGAAUUAAGCAAACCCAAUUUGCAUUAGGCCUGAUCUAACUACUUCUAGCUUUUAAGGAAGGGCAACCAACAACAUACUCAUUCUAAUCACAAAAAUGGAGUCUUAAUAAUGUAACAGUGUAUUCAGACUUUAAAAAGGCUUUUCCCAAACACCCCUAAUACAAAUAUUCUCUCCUUAUUAAUAUUUGAGCUAAUUCCACUCAGUAUGGCUAUGACUUGAUUUGUAAGACAUAUAGUGUCCGGACUCAAGUAUUCUCUCCUUACUAAUGUAUUUGAUAUCUAAUCAACCUCAGUCUUCUAUUUUAAAUCAGUAAAAUAUAAAAACUUAGCACUAUAUUAAAAGUUCAUGAAAUUUAAGAAUGGAAAAGAAUCUUCUGAAAACCCCCAAAGCUAUAACUUAAAAUCACAUUAUUAGUAUAAUUCCUUUUUGUCGGGAAUUCCUUAAUAUGUGAAAUCAGUCAAUUGGGAAGACGCUAAAUUGCAAGACAGUUAUAGUAUUACAACAAAACUAACAGCUAAAGAGGGAAAAACAAGAAACUAGAACAACACAAUUUUUCAAUAAUUUUAAUCCAAAAAUUAAAAAUAAAAUAAACUGAAAUUGACGAAAUCAAACAAGAAAUACUAAAAACUGUAAAAAAAAGAUGGACAGUAAAUAUUAUGUUUAAAAAAAUUUUGUUACCUUAAAAAAAUGAAGGAAACAAUAAGGGAGAGAGAACAAGGGGUUCGGUAAAGGGUGACAAAUGGGCCGGUUUGACGCGACCCAUUUAGGAACCCAGAUCGUUUUGACCCGGCCCGAUCAGCCCCCGAGCUGUAGGGUUCUGAGUCCCGGUCUGGAUCAAAUUUUUUUGGGCCCGGUUAACCCAGCUCGGACCAAAAUCGUUCCUGGCCCGUCGGCUAACCGCCCCGGCCCAGCUCGAUUAUUUUUUUUUAAAAAAAAAAUCAGUGUUUGACAUUUGUGCCAAAGUAGCCAUUGGGCCCAAUGUCUAUAUGGCCACUUGAACCCAAAAAUGGCUACUUGGCCAUUUUUCUUAAAAAAAAAAUAUUUUUUUAAUUUAAAAUAUUUUUUAAAACACAAAAAAAUUUCUAUUCUCAAAUAUUCUAUAUAUCUCCUAAAGUUCUCAAUUUUAAUUUUUAAUUUUGCGAUUACAAAGAACGUGUGGAAGUUUCUAAAGUCACAACUUUCGCAUACUUUUAAAAUUUGGUAUUAUCGUUUUAUCUCUUACAUUUAAUUUUUAAUUAGUGUAUUAAUUAUUGAAUAUUUAAUUUUAUUAUUUUUUGUGUAUUUUGAAUUUUUUUUAGUUUGAUUUAUAUUAUGGAUAAAUUAAGAAACAUUGCCAGUAAAAGUGUCAAAAUUUUUUAUCCCGAAAGUGAUUGUGGUAGUAAAAAGUGAAUUACUGGCAGUAGAGGUAGUUCAAGUAGUAUAUAUACCUAUGUGACUCCGGUACCGCUUAGCUAACCUUUUGAGGAAGAAGUAGGUGUAGGUGCACACGAUAUGGAUUAUGCAGAAGCUCAAAAAAAUUACGGUAUAGAAGAAGAAAAUGAAGUAGAUGAGGUUAAUUUAGAAGAAUAUGAUGAAAAUAUUGGUGAGACACCCGCAAUAGAAAAUGCUAAUGUUAGAUCUGAAUCGGUUAAUCACCCUCCCCCACCCCGUGCCCCAAGAGCUCGUAGAACAACUAGUAUUGCAUGAGAAUUUUUUACACGUAUAGAAGGAGAGACUAAGGUGCAAUGCAAUAUUUGUCAACAAAUAUAUGAGCAUAAAAGAGGAAGCAAUCAAGGGAGUAUGGGUACGUUAAUGAGACCUAUAAAUGAUAAUCACAAAAGAGAGUUAUUUAUUGCAUGAGGUGGUGAGGCUAUUGGUGGCCCAACACAAACUAGAAUGGACCCAGCAACCGGUCAGGUAAUUCAAAAUUAUAAUAAAUUGAGGGAUCGAGAAGAAAUAGUAAAAAUGGUAGUUGUAGGUUGUUUGUCUUUCAGUUUUCCUUCUUCGGAUACUUUUAUUCAUUAUAGUCAAGCAGUUUAUAAUCAUAUGUUUAAUGGUAUUUCUAGAAGUACUUGUCAGACCAAUAUUUUUAGACUUCAUUCACAAUAUGUUUUUUAUUUAUCUACAUUGUUAAAGAAUAUUCAAUGUAGAGUAACUCUAACUUCUGAUCUUAGUGGUGCUGUUAAUAAAAAUGAUUAUUUAACCAUUACUUGUCACUGGAUAGAUAGUAAUUUUGUUAUGCAAAAACGUAUUCUAACUUUUUUAUAUGAUGAAGAUCGUAGACAUACUGGAGAAUUUAUUGCUGAUUCGAUUAGUAAAGUUGUAGAAUUUUAUGGUAUUGAAAAAAAUCUUAUGUAUUGCUUUUGAUAAUGCUUCUAACAACAAAACUGCUAUUACAAAGUUAAAUCUCUCCGCCGUUACCUAAAAUAUUUCAUGUUAAGUGUGCUUGUCAUAUAUAUAAUUUAACUAGUAAAUUGGACCGCGCCGGUUACCAAAAAUCUCAUUAGUUCUACAAAUUAAUCUUUAUUCAAAAAUUAAAUAUUUUAAAGUAUCCUAUUUAGUGCUUAAGAUAAUUCAAAUAGGUUAAUUUUAAGUUGUAACUCAUUUUAUUAUUAACACGAUUUUAUAUUUUUUUCUCUAACUUUUCAUCACCCAAUAGCCUAAUUAUUUAGUUCUUAGAAAAUUAAACCCAUCAUUAUUUAUAGUUUGAAAAAUUAAACUAAAAAGAUGAAAUAUUGAAAUGCGUAAUAUAAUCCGCCUCCUCCUCCUUAUUCUGAACAAAAUAAUUUGUGUGACUUAACCAUUAUAAUUGAAAAGAUUCAAUUUAAAUAUCUAGAGAAACAUAAGUAAUACGAUGAUCAUUUCUUGUUGACAUCUUUUGCCUCAGCCUUCUUGCAAGUUUUAUUCAUUCUUUAUAGUAGUACAUUUUAUAAUUUUUAAAAAGUUGUAUAAAUUUUUCAUUUGUUAAAUUUCUAAGAGUUUUCUUUUAUUUCAAUUCUUUACAUAUUCAAAUGAAUUACUAUAUUUAACUUAUAGCUUUUGUUUCCCUAAGGAACUGACGAUAUUUAUAACAUAAGUAUAUAGAAGGUAAGCAAAAUAAAAAUGUACUAUUAAUCUCUACUUUUUAGCGAAAAGCAAUUAUUUCUACUAUAUUUUAUAUCUAAUAAAGAAAAUAGAACGUAACAAAUCACAUAUUUUAAGCCUCGAAGCACUUAAAAUACCGCAAUAUCUUGUAGUACACUUAAUUACAUUAUUGCCUGCUCUCCAUUUCUCUUUAAGGAGUUACUAAAUUCUUUCUUGCUUGGCUCUAUCAUAAAUGAAUUUUCUUUCUUGUUUGGCGAUGUCACAUAUGGAUCUUCUUCGUUUUUGCUAAUCAUGAUAAGAACAUAGAAUUCAUUUUUGGAUCUCGACUUGUGUUGCCGCUUAGAAAUAAUAGAAUAUAAAAUUUCUUACUUCUUUCUUUGAUCUGCAUCGGUAUUUCAAGUUCUUCGGUUAGAAUAUAACAAUAUCAAAGUUUAGUUAAUAAUACAAACAAAGAUUUUUUCCUACAUUAAUCAAGAAUAGAAAAAAUUAUGAUACUAAAUGAGACUUAAAACUUUUCUUGAAUAUGACAUGUGAAAGCUUAAUCAAUAAUACUCGAGAUUUUAUUCUCGUCAUAAGAGGAGAAAUGUUAUGUUCAGCAAUAAUUUAAAAACUGAUAGAUAACAAUAAAUCAUAAAAAUUUACAUUUUCAUAUGUUUAAAUAAAACUUUUAAAGAUACUUCUUGGAGUUCAAAGAAUCUCCAACUUGCUUGGAGAUCUGCAAGAAGAAGAAGAAAAAAGAAUGCGGAGAAUUUAAAAUCAGAAUUAUAUAAAAUUGUGUUGAAUUUUGUGUAUAUAUGAGAUCCAAAAAGAGUUUUCUUUGAGUCUUUAUUUAUCAUACCUCUUUAGGUUCUUAACAAUUGAUGUCAAUCAACCACCACAAACUCUAUUUUGUUUAGUAUGCUGCAUAUGACAUCCAUGGGUAAAUUCAUCAUUACGAUAUUCGCUUUAUCAAAUUUAAUAUAUUCACGUGAACCAUAAAUUUAUACAUAAGCAUUCAUUAAAAUUAUAAUAAAUAAUAUAUAUGAACUAAGAAUUUUUGAAAAAUACACUUACCAUAAAUUAAAUUUACAUUUUGAAUCCUCCUCCAUCUCUCCAUCAUAUACUGCUUGCUCUCACAACAGGUUGAUCGUGUGUUUCAUUUAGGUUUUUAUUUUUUUUUAUUUUGAUUUUUUAGAAUUUGCAUUUGCAAGCAAAAGUUGAUGAGACUUUUAUACUGGUAUAAUUAGUUGAGUAUUUGUGAGGAAGUUGAAGAAUUUUAUCCUCUUUUAAAACGUAAAAUAACAUAAUGUGAUAGUGGAUUAAUAAAGAAUCAAAAUAUUUAAUUCUUUUAGAUUUCUAAAAUGAAGUGUAUAUAUAUCACUUGCAAUAAGCAAAAUGAAGUAAUGCAUCAAUAUUGCUACAUUAUGCAUGAAUAGGAAUUUAAUUAUAUUUAAUGUUAAUUACAUUACUCCUAUGUGGAAUUCAGUCAAAUGUCAAAAUGGUAGAAUUAGAAUUUAUUGCAAUUGAUUAAUAGUAUUUUACGAUUAAUAAAUGAGAAAAUUUUUAAAAAAAAAGGUUAAAAAAAUCACAAAAAAGAUAAAUAGCUUUUCUUGAUUGUUAGGCAUGCCACAUAGGAUGAACUAAUAUUCUCUUUUAUAUAUCUAUUGAUUGUAACAACAACAACAACAAACCCAGUGUAUUCCCACUUAGUGGGGUCUGGGGGGUAAGAUGUACGCAGUCCAUACCUCUACCUCUGAUGAAGUAGAAAGGCUGUUUCCGAAAGACCCCCGGCUCAAGGCACAAGAUAUCACACAAACACAUAGUAAAGCACAGAAGCAGAUGACAUAACAUAAAUACGGCACCCAUAAGGAAUAUAAAACAGAGGAAAGCAGAGGAAAGCACACAGAUUCGUAAUAAGCAUGGAACACUGAAUACAGAAUCAUAACGGGAAUAAAAAAUAAAAAAAACCCCCACCAAGUAAUUCCC